rnacentral:lncRNA from 1 species
AAAAAAAAAAGUAAUAUUUUGUUACCUCAAAUAUAUUAGAAUCUCAAUUACAAAUUAUUAAACAAAGUGACAUCGACCAUUUUACAAGUGUUUCGGGUAGAAUUUAAACAAUAUAUUUGAGGCAAAUAAAGUUAAACUCUUACCACCAAACUGAGAAGUUACUGAAACAACAAUCCAAAAGAGAAGGGAGAAGAAAUACAAAACAAUAACAUUAAAUACAAUGCAAAAGCAAAUUUAGAUAGUAGAAGCCUUGGUGAGAGAGGUAAUGGUAAUAGAAACACCAACAGCAGCAGCUUUAGUCUCAAAAGUAAAAGUAUCAUAGCGCAAGAAAAACUCCACCAAAAACAAUCUACACAAAAGCACAACAAGAUUUUUCCCAGGACAUUGUUUAUUAUCCACACUAGGGUUCUCCGUUUCUCUCCCAUUUGACCAUAAAACAUAUUUCAACAACUUCUCACCUUCUCCAAUAAACCUCUUUGGAACGAAAACCUCGGGAUCAUCGAAAAUCCUAGGAUCCUUAGUAGCAAAAGGUUGGAAUCCGAAUAUCGUCUCACCCUUUUUUAUUUCAAAACUUGCAUCAUGACUCUUGACAAUCAAAUCUUCUCUUGCUUUUGCAUACUGAUAAGGUACGAUGGGUUCUAUUCGCAUUGCUUCAUAAAUAACGGAUUUUACUAACGACAUUUUUUCCAAUGACUGAAUUGUUACUCCGCCUUCUUGUUUUACAAUGGUUCUUAUCUCGUUUGCGAGUUCUUUGUGUAGCUCUUCACCGGAUAAACCUAUCCAUUUGAAGAGUGUUGGAAAUUGAUUCUUUAAUCCGGCAUAUCCGUUAAAGCCGGCUAUGAAAAUGAGAUUGUGACAUGCUUCACUUCUUUUCAACCCUACUUUUUCGGCUUCGUCUAAAAUUGUUACAGCAGAAGAAGAAAAUGCUUCGUAGAGCUUCUUGUAAGAGGACCUGGCCAAACAAGUUUGUUAACACGGAUAUAAGAGAUUCGUAAAACCAACAAUUAUUAACAUUUUUAAAGAAACGUUUUGCAUCUAGUUAUCCAUAAUUAUGUAUUAUUUUCAUUAUUUUUAAAAUGCACCAUGUCUUAAUCACAAUGAUUAAAUUUUAAGAUAUUCACUUUUUUCGUAUUAACAAGUUAAAAUAAACAUACAUUUUUUAAUCAAGAUAAAAUAUAUUUUCAUUGGUCCUAUAAGUUUAAUUCAGUUAACAAAAAUAUUGCAUUAUAUAUGUAUAGGGCUGAGGUUCGAACUCCAGUCAUCUCAUUUAUCCACCUUAAGAUAUUGACAAAAAAAAGUUUAUUUUCAUUGAGUAAAAAAAACCUUAAAGAGAAUCUUAAGAAAAAUAAAAUUGAAUAUUUAUUAUCGUUAAUUACAAUGAUUAAAUUUUAAGAUACUCACUUUUUCGUAUUAACAAGUUAAAAAAAAACCUUAAAGAGAAUCUGAACCAAGGUUUUAAAUUGCGGUCCGCAUCCGCAAUUGCGGCCGCAGUAUUGCUGAUGCGGUAGCCACCGCAACCGCAUCGCACCGUAAUUGCGGUGUGAUCUUAAUUCAUGAGUACAGCCGCAUUGUAACCGCAUCACAACCGCAUCGGAAGCCGCAUCAGAUAUUUUCGGUGAUGUUCGUUCAAAUUUUCUCACAAAAAAAUAAAAUUUAUGAACUUCAAAUCCUAAUUUGUGUCAAAUUAAUGAAAAAUCUUACUUUUAACAAUCUCUCAACCGUGUAUUUUAAAUACAUUCAAAUUAUUGUUUAUGGAAUAAACUGAGACUAUGUAAUGGUGGAUAAAUAGUAUAAUUACAUAGUAAUUUCAUUUUAUAUAGCUUGUGAAAUUUCCAAAUGAUUUCACGCCGCAACAACCGCAUUGCGCGUUGCAGCAACCGCAUUCGCAACAACUGCAACCGCAACCGCAUCCGCGACCGCAACCGCAAUUUAAAACCUUGAUCUGAACCAUUCGUUAUUAAGAAAAAUAAAGAGAAUCAUUCGUUAUUUUAAUUAAAGAGAAUCUUAAGAAAAAUAAAAUUUCUCAUUAAAAUUAUAUGCUUAAGAAUUUUACCUUGUUAAACAAGCUGGAAUGGGAACUGUACGAAGCAAUAGAUCUUCAAGAUAAUUGAAAAUCUUAGGAGGUUUUAAUGUUUCAAUUGGAGCAAUUUGAAAGAGAAUCCAUGUGUCCAACAUUUUAGGACCUUGAGAACCAAGGUUAGUUUCAGAAGGAUACUUAUUAUCACAAAAGAGACUAAACAAGAAAUUAAAAGAAGCCUCACUAAAAAUAGUGUUAAAAUCAGCUUUACCACUUUUUUCAGAAAGUUCAUCUUCAAUGUUAUUAAAAGAAUCAGAAAGUAUACUCUUAAAAAGAGGGAUAAUAUUGUCUUUUCUCAACAAAAGAGCAUUAAGCAAGAGACCUUUGAUAAGAGCAUGGUUUGGUUCAGUUGUGUCUAAUUGAGACAAGAUACGGUAGCCGCCGGUGAAAUUUGUCGAUGGCAUGAAGGUACCGUCGAAGACGUUGUGUUUCUCGACUUUUUUAUUGUCGAAUAGGAUCGGGAAGGAUGCGGCGUCUAAGAGAGCUAUGACUCUAGGGUUUGAGGCAAUGAAUGGACCUGGUGGCAUGUUGGUUCUAAAGACUGUUGAAUUGUAUUUUUGAAUUCUUGUUGAGAAGAAUUUGUCUCUACCUUGGUUGUAGAAAUAGUCGUGUCGGUCGAAAAUCGGUCCAAUGAAGGGGAGGCCAUAGCUGCCUGGGAUUUGUUUUAGUGGGAGGUCUUGCUGGUGGUUGUUGGUGGUUGUGGAAGAUUGUUCUAAAGAUGUCAUUGUUAAUGAAAUUCUUGGUAUUUUGAUUGGUUAAUUUGUUUGGUUAUGGUUUAUGGCAUAGUUGUUGUUUCUUUAUAUAGAGUUGUCCUUAGUACUAGUAGUAAUUUUAUUUCAAAAUAAAAAAUAGUAGUGACAACUGACAAGUGCCCUUAUGGACCCGACUCUUAAUAUUAAGGUUGAAAAAAUAGGAAUAGGAUUUCCUGCAGUAAAUGUUUCACGCUGUUUCACGCUGUUUUAAACAAGGACCGUCCGAUCUAAUCUGAAUGGUUCAGAUUGAUUUGGACUGAUUUUGUAUAGAUUCAAUAUGAACCGACCGAUCUGAAAUGGACGGAUGAGAUCUAAAACAGCGUGUAACUUUGUGAUUUCCAACUGCAGAGAAUCUUGAUCCCUGGAUAUCCACUACCUCUUGAUAUAAUUUGAAAGGAUAUUGUCUUCCGUGGAUAUCUCACCGGAAGAAAUUAGCGUUGAUAUCGACCCUUUAAUUAUUUCUUUUUGUUAUGAUAUUGAACACUUGAAAAAAAAAAAUUAAUGGUUAAUAUUUAAUGAGAGAUAAAUAUUAAUAGAGACAAUCACUUUCCAAAUAAUUUAGAGUAUUCAUCCAAUAAUAAGAAGUAAAAGGUGGGUUACGAGCUCGUCGAUCUUUCUUACAGCUUGUCUGGAUGUGUUGCAUUUCAGUUAUAUGGCAUGAGCGGAAUAAUAGAGUUUUCAAGGCAGCAAGAUUUACAGUUCAACAAAUAUUUAAUAAAGUUAAAUUAUAUACGUUAUGGUGGUUGAAAGCCCAUAAUGUGCAUCUAGGUGUAAACACCCACAUGUGAUGGUCGAGUCCGUUUGUCUGUUUAGGUAUCGACUAAUUUAAUGUGCUCUUGAAUUUUGUAAAAUUUUGUGGCUCUUUCUGACAUACCUUGUGCUAGACAUGACUCUCUUUUGGUGUUAAUAUAUUUCAUUUUUACUAGUUAAAAAAAAAUUUGAUUAAAAGUUAAUUGUGAUAUCACAUGUAAAUCUAUUUAUAAUUUUAUUUUACUUAUUAUCUCAUUGAUUGUUGAGUAGAUAUUCAUCAUUAAGGAUAGUGUAAGUCUCACCAUUGCGACCGCAUUCAUAAAUAUACCAGGACAUGGUUUGUAAGUUUUUUUAAAAUCAGGACAUGAUACAUUCAAGAUGUGUUAAUAAAAAAAAAUUUAAUAAAAUUUCCAAUUGUUCCUUUAAAUUUUCUGUUUUCAAUUUUAAUUCCUCCAUUUUCCAAAAGUUCACAUAGCAUGUUCCAUAUGGCUAUUUUUAUAACAUGUCAAUAUUAAAACUUUAAAAUAUCAUGAUUACUUUAAUAAUUUAAUUAUUUUAUCUUUUAUUUGAAGUUAUAGAUAACAUAAGAUAAUAUAGAUUAAAAGUAAAAUAGUUAAAUUAUCAAACUAAUUAAUGAUAUUUUAAUUAAGGUCUUAUCAAUGACAUGUUAUAAAAAAAAAUCAGUUGGAACAUGUGACAUAAACUUUUAUAAAAAAAUAGAGACUAAAAUUGAAAACAAAUUUUUUUUUUUAGAAUUAAUGUCUGAAGAAAUUUUUAGAGGAACAUAACUAAAACGAAAAUUUGUAUAUUUAGAAGGAUCAAAAAUAUAUUCACCCCCAAAAUUUAUAUGCAUAUAAAAUACUUGAAACAAAUAUACAUCUACUUAAGCUAAUUAGUCAAAAGUUAAAUUUCUGACUCAGAAAUAUUUGAUUGGAUUAUUGUGAAAAAUUAACCAUUACAGAGUAUAAAAUAACUUUAGAAAUUUCGUACCACAUAACAUAAUAUAUUGAAAAAAUAUGCAUUCAUAUAAAAUUAUAAACAUCACAAUUUAUAAAAAUUAAUACCUAAUACCUAUAAUUAAAACACAAAGUAUAAAAUUUUGGUAUAAAUUAUAAUCUACUUUGAUAGAGUAUUUGCAGAGGAUUUAAUGGUCCUAUUGUUUACACUGAUUUUUGGUAAACAACCGCUAGUUUAAAUUAAUUACUUGAGAGAUCAACUAGUAAAUCUCGGAACAUAUUUGUGUGUUAUUUUCUAGAAAAAUAUGAAUGUUCAUCAUCUUUUACUUGNNNGGAACUUUAAAGGACUUGAAAGAUUAAAUUGCAUUUGAAUGUAAAUAGUGGUUGGAAUCCAUCUAUGUCCGUCCCUUGAACCCGUUUGCCACCGCGGCGUGGGUGUUGCAAGACUUUCAUAAAAUAGGAUAAGUGAGUAUAUGGUUUCAUUUUAUGCAUGUGUUGUCAUUAUGUGCAGUAGAAGUUACUAAUACAGACAGAGCACGAGGCUGUGUACCUGUGGAUGGCCUGACGUACGUUCAUAUGAAUUCAAUUACCGGUCACUUUCAAAUAUCUUUAAAUAGAUACUUUUUUUCAAUGAAUUUUAACUUAUUAUUACUAUAAUAUUAAGAUUGGCAAAUGAAAUAAUUUUCCCGUUUAAAUCAUGUCUAAGUAAUUAAAUUAAGAGAAAUUAACGUUUUCUUUAGUAUUGGUUUCAUCGGAGGCUAUAGACUAGUGGUUGUGUUUUUUGUUUAGUGGUGUUUUUCUUUACGUUUCUAUUUUUGGUUGUUGUUUAUCUGCUUGUUGGAGUAAUUAAUUAAGCAAUUGUGUUUGGUAACUUGCUUGAGCAGAUGUGUUGUAUAAAUAAUUUCCUAAUUCUAUAUGGCUCGGUCAGUCUUGUGCUUUGGAAAAGACUUUUAUCAAUUUUUUCUUUUUUGCCUAAUAUUGGCCGGUUGAAUCUUUUAGUUGUUGUGAUGCACAUUGCAGUUGUUACAGUGUGAAAUAAUAUUAAAUUUUCACAAUAGAGUCUCAAUUUGUCAUGUAAAUUAAUAUUGAAGGGGAGAUGUUUGAAAUAGACAAUUGAAAAUUUUCAUUAGAUAUAUAAUGUAAAUUCGGGUUCAUAAAUUUUAACAUUUUAUAAGAUAAUUUGAGUGAAAAUAAUUGAAAUUGUCUGAUGCAGCUAUGAUCUAACUAUUCCCGUAAGUAAAUUAAAAUCACAAAGCAAUUGCAAAAUGUGAUGCUCUUAGAUUUAUAGAAACUACUAUGAUCAAUUGUGGCUGUAAUCGUAGUUUUUUUUUAAUGAUAAAUAUAUAUAAAAUAAACAGUUACAAUACAUCAAACAUAAAAAAUAGAAAAGAGAAAAAAGAGCAUUUUGAAGUACUCAGAGAGUACUAACAAUCGAAACACCAAAAAACCGGCUACAGCCAAAAUGAAACAACCACCCACCACACGUGACUAUCAAACCUGCACCACAAACAUCUGAUCAUAGAGAGAAUAAGAAAGAAGUGAAGAAAGAUAGGAUCAGGGCAUCAGGCCACUCAUCAACCAAAGGCAACUACAACACCCACCCCCGCCAACUUCUAUCGACUCUAACAUUAGACAGGUUGUACUUCCCACUAGUAGAAGGCCGCAAUGGUGGUUGUUGCCUGCUAUUUGAAACCAUAUUAUUGGGAAGUAUCUUAUAAAAAUCUAUAUUUUGGAGUAUUUGACUUCAUAUUAUGCACGUGCUAUCAUUAUGUGGUAGAGGAUACUACUACAAAGCACGACAUUGGAUUACCCACGUACCGAUGAGAUGAUGAUUACCGGUCACUUUCAAUUAUCUUUCUUUUUUCUGGUAAUAAAACGGGGCAAUUACCACUUACCAGUCACUUUCUCAAAUAGUUUUUUUUUUUUUUUCAUUGAAUUUAAAUUUAUUAAUAUAUAAAUAUAAUUGACAAAUGAAAUAACUUUCCCGUUUAAGUCAUAUCUCUAAUUAAUUAUAUUAAGGUUAUUCAAAAUAAAUUAACCAUGUUAAGAGAAAAUAGCGUUUUGUUCCUAGUAGUUGUUGUUUUUUCUUCCUUUGGAGUGUUUGUUGUUCUUUAGUAUUGGCUUCAUUGGAGGAUGUAUAUAGACUAGUAGUGGUGCGUUUUUUAUUUAGUGAUGUUUUUCUUUACGUUUCUAUUUUUGGUUGUUAUAUACUCUGUUUUGGAGUAAUUAAGCAUAAUUAAUUGUAUCGGCCGGGUAGCUUGCAUGAGUAAUGUGUUGUAAUUUCCUAAUUCUAUAUGAGCACGUCUUUUGCUUGGAACAGUCUUUUGUCAAUAAUUAUUUUGCCUAAUAGUGGUUGGUCGAGUCUUUUAGGGCAUGCAUGUGUGCUGACUCAAAGAUAAUUUUUGGAAAAAUACAAUAAAAUAAAUAAAAUAAAGUAAGCUUCCUUAGUUUGUGUAUGGUCAAAAUAAAAAAUUGUGUAUAGUUACGAGAUAAGAUAAGGGGUUUAGUAUUGUAAUAACCAUGUUGAAAUUCCCGUAAGAAAACGAAAGACAUGUUCAAAUGGAAUAAUAUUCAUUGCAAUUUGCAGGCCGGUUGAAUAUUCAUUUACAAUUAGGUAGGUGAAAAUUUGUUAAUUAAUAUAAUCGUGGAAGAAUGAUAUAUGCGCUAUUGUCGGUGCUUAUGGAUCCGAAUCUGGGUGAUCUAAUUCAUGACCAGGAUGAGCUUAGGUGAAAUUAAGUGGAGGUCCGAACCAACUGAUAUUGAAAAACCAGCCGAUGAGUUGUGGUUAGCGGUGAAAUGCCACUCGAACCUAGAGCUAGCUGGUUCUCCCCAAAUUGCGUUGAGGCGCAGCAGUUGACUGAACAUCUAGGGGUAACUCACUGUUUUGGCGCGGGUCGCGAGAGCGGUACCAAAUCGAGUGUGUACAUUGUCAUAAUGGAUGAUGCUAAUUAGGGUGGAGGAGCUUGUGGGCUGGGCAGGGCCAUGGACCGCCCGAGAAAAUAAAGAAUUUUUUUUAUAUACUGAGAAAUGACAAAUAUACCCCUGCUUACCUUUGUUUUUUCCCUCCCAUAUCCAACUUGUCCAACACACACACGCAAACACAGAGAGAGAAAGACACAAACGCAAAAACAAAGUACGACGGACACACCGCGAUUGCACCACCAUCGAUUAUGGACCAUUUGAUUUUCAUUCUAGUAGGAGGCCGUAAAAAAAAUUAAUUUAUAAAAAUCGAAUGGUCCACGCAGGGACGGAUCUAUGGGGGGCAAGCAGGGGCUUCAACCCCCCCUCCCUGCCAAUCAUGUUAUAUUAUAUAAGUAGUAUAAUACUAGUAUAUGUGUCAUGUUAUUUAUUUGCUUAUAUGCAGUAUAAUAUACCCAGGUUUCUAUUUUAUUAGUCAUUUUGGUUUUCAAACAUAUUAUUAAGUAGUCAAUUUAGUCUUCAAAUAUAUUUUUUUAUGUCAGUUUAGUCAAUAAAUUUAAUAACAAAAGACACACUAUGAAUGUAUUUACAAUUUUAAUAUAUUUGGGAACUAUUAUGAUAGCGUCUCAUAUAUUCAGGGACCAAAUUUUUAAUUUGUUCUUUAUCGUUAUAUACUAUUUAUUACCGGAAAAAUAUUCUGGCCCCCCGUUAGGCAAAUGUCUGGAUCCGUCCCUGGGUCCACGAUUGAUUAUUAGUCACACAUUAUUCAAAUAUCUUUAACGAUGUAUGAUGUUUUGUAGUAAUGUUACUUUUUGUUUGGGUAUUUGACAAUGUAGGUACUACUUUGGGCCAUAUAUACCUUCAUUGUAGAGGGCUAUUGUUUGUACACAGAAAGAACAUUUUUAUACUCCCUUAUCUCUAUUUAUAAGAAUAUUUAGCAAUUUUUUGCUUAUAUUAAGGAAAAAAAUUAUACUUUAGUUGUAUACAAUUUGUAUAGAAGACAGCUAUUUGCACAACAAAAAAGGUCAAUAUAUGCCGACAGAUAGAGCUGUGCAAAUGGGCUAGUUCAAAUAAGCGUAGGUCGGCCUGCCAAGCCCACUAAAAUAUAUGGUCUGAACUUAUUGAACCUAAAUUAUUUUAGAGCUUUUUAGCCCAGCAUGAAAAAAUCCGUUAUAAAAACAGGCUAGCUCGUAUGGGCUACGAGUAGACCGAAGUCGGCAUUAACAUAAAAAAAAAAACUAGAAAAAGAUACAACAAUUUAUCCUAAUCGUUUCAGCUAAAAUAUGUUGUCCGUUAAUAUUUUAUUCAUGUGUAAUUAUUCCAGUUAAAAUAGGUUGUCCGCUUGACUGAAAAAACUAGAAAGAGAAAACUAUAAUUAUUUUAACUAAAAUAAUUGUUGUCCGCUUGACUUUUAUUUAUGUGUAAUUAUUUUCAAUAUAUAUACUAAAAAAAAUUUGGUGCCUUGCGCAGCCGCUCCUCGCGAACACCUUCCAAAAUCCCUUGAUCGUAGAGCUGUCAAAAAGGGUUACGCUACCGUGCCAGCCCAUUGGUUCUGUAUUUUAACAUGGGUCGGGCCUAAAAAAAGCACCGAAAAAACAACCUUAUAUUUUUGGGUUGGUCCAUCAGGGUUAUAUUUUUCAUGGGCCGGUCUAGGCUGGCCUGUCAGGCUUGCGAGCUAGCCCACUAAAUAUUAAAAACAAAAUUAGAAAAAUAGAAUACAUCCUCAAUGGAAAAUUCAAAAUUUUCCCAAAUUUUUUAAGUGUACAAUUGAGUUUUCGUAUGACAUAAUCUCUUUUUUCCUAUUAUUCCUUGUUAACAUGGGCCGAGUCUAAAAAAAACACCAAAAGAAACGACAGUAUCUUUUUGGAUCGGUCAAUCAGGCUUAUAUUUUUCAUGCGCCGGUCUAGGCGGGCCCGUCGGGCUUGUGAGCUAGCCCACUAAAUAUUAAAAAAAAAAUUGAAAAAUGGAUUGCAUCGUCAAUCGUUCUCAUUUCUCAAUGGAAAAUUCAAAAUUUUCCGUAAUUUUUAAUUGUAGAUAUGAGUUUUCGUAUGACAUAAUCGCUUUUUUCCUAUUAUUCCUUGUUGAAAAAACCUAACUUUCGUCAAAGCUUCAACAAGCUUCGUAUCUCAAGCUUCAACGUCAUAUGACUUUGAUCGAAUUUUAGAAGUUAUUGACAAGGAGUCGGAGGAUGAUGAUGAUGAUUUUGAAAUGUUAGAAUCUCCUCCAGUUGCUAAUACGAAAAAUGUUAUUUAGAGAGACUUUGAUGAAAAACAAUACUAAUUUAUAAAGAAUGGACAAAAACAUCUGUUAUAAAAUUAUGACACUCACUUAUUUGAUGGACAAUAAUUUAUGUGUUAUGUAGUUUUAUUGUCCAUUGCAUAUUUUUCUAAAAUAAAAAAGAAUAACAUGAAAAUUAGUUGGGCCGGCCCAUUAGGCCACAUAGAUCAUUACUAAUUGAGUCAGGUUCAAUUUAGCAGCACAUGAAACAAACGAGUCGACCCACUAAAACUCUUUUAUAUAUGUUAGCCCAUCGGACCGGUCCACUUGACAUCUUUACAUAUUCGUACAUCAUUUAUGAUGGACCGUUGACACCAUUUCUCGUAUACCUUUCUAUCUUGGCAAUUAUACUAAGAUGUUUUCUCUCCCCACCUCCCGUGAAUCUUUUAUACCCCCCAAUAUUCCAAUUUUGCCCUUGCAGAAAAAUUCGGUUCGCAGUAACCUAAUUUUUACUAGUGCAAUUUCAGAGUAAAUUUCGAUUUUUAGAAGCCGAAAUUUGUUUUCAAGGCAAAAAAACACUUCGGUUUCUACGAACCGAAGUUUUUUCAAGGGCAAAAUUGGAAAUUCAGGGGGGAUAAAAGAUUCACGAGGGUGGGGAGAGAAAACAUCUUAUAUUUUUAUAUGCAAUCUUUCGAAGAUUUGAUUGAAGAAUUAUUCUACCCUAGCUUGUGCGCCAAGACGCACGUGGUGUAUUAAACUUCAGGAGGCGGUUUUACAAGGUUACUUGGUCCUCAAGUAUUAUAUAAAAUUAAGGAAUCAAAGAUUUAAUUUUAUAAUAUAACCUCUGAACGUUUUCUUGGAGCAGAAGUUUAGUGGCUCAAGGCCCACGAAGUUUCUGCUAUAUAAAGGGUGCUGCUAACCCUAUUUUAAUCAUCUAAACCAUCAUUCUUACAAAGUGUGUGUGUUUUUAGGGUUUAGAGUGUUUAUUGUUAAUUGUGAGUCUUUCUUGUGUCUCCUUGAUGCAAGCAUAGGACCAGGUUUAUUGAGUUGUAACUGUGAACUGCUCCUAAGCUUUGAAGUACGAAGUUAGUUUGUGUUUGAUUCACUCGAGAGCUUUUAAGCGAGAGUGAGAUCUAGUUUCAUAGGAGGGUGUCUCCAUCAUUGGUUCUUGUUUGUAUUGAAUAACAACGCUGUCUGUGUAGUUAAAGGGAAUUGAGACGUGGUCUCAUAUCUAGGAGUUCCUAGGUAUGAUUAGCACGGGUAGUGUCUAGGAGAUAAGUCGUAAAUCGGGGUGUUUGCUGAGGGCUUUGAACUAGAGCUAUUUUUUUUUUGAACUAGAGCAAUUUUUGUUUAUUUUAGAGCUUAAUCAAAAAUCUCAAUUUUUGUCUAAUCAAAAAUCUCUAUUUUAGUCUCUUAAAUACAAAUUAAGUCAGGCUAUUUCCUUUUAAUCUAAGAUACAAUAUCCUUCUUGUUUCCAAGACCUCACAACAACCCCCUUGAUUAUAAAUUAAUAUCUUCAUAAUCCACAACCUUACCUCCUUAAGAUUUUGUUUACGAAUUGGUUUUUGGAGAGGAAAGAGGCGAACUUUUUUCUAAAAAUUAAGAACAUUAUAAAAUAGUUUUUAAAAUAAUUAAAAAUUGAUAAAUAAUCACAUAAUACUUCAAAAUAUUUUAUAAUACUCUUAAUUUAAAAAUUAAAAAUAAGUUUUCAGCUCCCUUCUAAAAACUAACUUGCAAAGAUGACGGAUUUCUCUCUGAGACAUGCUUUCUCAAUACCUUCACCUCCCAUGCUUGUUAACAAAUUAUUUUGCUCAAAAAAAUGGUCACCCCCAUGUUUUACCUCAGAUUGGGCCCUACAUGAAACUAGUAGUAUAAAAUCCACUCUAAACAAAGAUGUUUUCUCUCCCAACCCCCGUCUUUCUUUUCUACCUCCUGAAUUUCCAUUUUUGUCUUUGGGGGUACUUCGGUUUGUACGAACCGAAUUUUUUUUUGUCAUGCUAAAAAAUUUCGGUUAAUAUAAACUGAAAUAUUGUGUUACAAUUUUUUUUUUCCAGAUUUCCUGCAUAAAUUCUGCAUGAGACCCUCAACUUCCACAAUUUAUUUGAAAUACUAAACGAUGUCUGAUUUGAGUAAAAGAUCACUUGUUGGAAAGCUUAGGGUGUCAAGAAUACAAAUAUAAUUUUUUUUUAGGGUUAACUAUCCAAUUGGUUCAGUUUGACCAAAUAAUGGGUACUAGUACAUAAACAGAGCAGAAACUUUUCCCAAACGUGUAGGUAGAUUUUCUCAUACUAUACUUAAUGAAAUUUAACAAUUCCGGUGUCAAUCCUGUAGUAAAUUUUGUCUUCUUUACACUAGAUUAAAAAUCAUUAGCAUACGACAUAUAUUCAGAGAGCUAUGCUAAAUUUACCACAAGUAUCUCUACAAUAAUUUUUGCAGAAACUUUUCUCAAACUUGUAGGUAGAUUUUCUCAUACUAUACUUAAUGAAAUUUAACAAUUCCGGUGUCAAUCUUGUAGUAAAUUUUGUCUUCUUUACACUAAAUUACAAAUCAUUAGCAUAUGACUUAUAUUCAGAAAUAUAUGCUAAAUUUACCACAGGUAUAUCUCUACGCCAAUUUUCACAUAAAUCUUUCUUCUUCUCUUAACAUUUAUGUUAUUUCGGUUUAUAUAAACCGAAUUUUUUUCCAUGUUUAAAAAUUUCGGUUCGUAGAAACUGAAAUAAGUUGGCCAAAUUUUUUCAAACCGCAAGGGGCAAAAUGAGAUUUUUGGGGGCAUAAAAGAAAGGCGGAGGGUCGGGAGAGAAAAGCAUCCUAAACAAAGCUUCAACAUUUCAACAUCCAACUUCUGGGCUUUUGAAUCAAUAUUAGUACACCUCCCCCUCUAAUUUAUCUCUUUAGGCCCCUAGUUUCUUUUACACCCCCCAUCCCUCGCCCAAAUUUCAACUGUUGUCUUGCAAGCCAGGUUCAGAAUCUUAUUUUUCAAAUCAAUAUUUAGUUCACAAUGUAGAAUUUGGUCACUAUGUUGCACAAUCUAUUCUUUGAACUUAUCCUUUAUACAUCAGCUAUUAUCCAAUGUACAUCACUUCUUCUUCAUCCAUACUCCACCUAUAUUUCUCCCAUAAAAUUUGCAUUUUUUGUUAAAUUGUGGGUCUAAAUUCUUCUUCAUCCAUACUUGUUCUUCAUAUAUAUAAACUUACACUUUAUAUAAAUUUAGUAACCACUAUAUAUAUAAAUUUUAUUAUCAAUUCAUUUCUUUUUGACUUAAUUAUUUUUUUAAUCUAUUGAUUAAACAUAUACUCUGUAGAUUUUAAGAAGUAGAAAAUCAGAAGUUAAAACCACGACCCCUUCAAUACCUUAUAUUUAAGUAUAGAUACAUUAAUUUAGUAACAACCUCAUAUAAAUAUAAAUAUAUAUAAUGGUAGUGUGAUCCGUGUUGAUGCAUAUCCUGCAAUUACAAAAUGUGACUGUGGGGGUACAGUUGUCAAAAAUGAGUCGGGUUUAUGGGUUUGCCUAUUAGUCCAUUGUCUUGGAUGAGAUGAACAUAGCUCAAUAAUAAUUAGGUUGGGUCAAUCUAACCUAUUUAUUUCGUCUCUUCCACCGGCCGGACCAUGAUGGAUUGAAUCGGCAUAUUUAACAGCUCUAUGUUUGAGGGGCAGAGGAUAAGGACCUUCAAUAAUGAUUGGUCCCAAUUUGUUUUUUGUUUUUUGCGGUACAAAAGAGAGAAUAUUGGUCCCAUUUUCGACUAGACAACCAUACCAUUCAUUUGUUGCACUUAAUAAUUAUACUACAUAUAUAGACUAUGUUAUAUGGAUAUGGAAUGCGUGCUAUGUACUAAGAAAUAUGGAAUGCGUGUUCCACGAGGACUCGAAUGUAAACGCAAAAGUACACAUCAAACCUUAGUUUAAUAGCAUGUAAAUGAGCUGGAGAAUUAGUUGUACUCACUUGGUUGCAAAAAAUAUAUAAGCUUACCUCAAAAUAAAAUAAAUGAGAGAAAUUGUUGUUAUCGUCAUCUUUAAAGUAUAUAAGAUAAGAUUAUUAUUUUCUUUCAACACGCAUAAAAUCUUUAAAAAAUUGACUAAUAGUAAUAUACUAAUAUCAUAUGUGCAUUAAAAAAUGAUAAUAAAAAAGUCUUACAUUCAAUCAAUAUACAUAAGUAAUAUUUUAUUUUUUAAUUAAUAAAAUUCAUAAUAUGCAUGUAAAAACUCACAAAGAAUGAAAAAAAAACAAAUUAUUGAACAAACUUUUACAACAUAUUCCAUUCACAAUUUUAAAGAGAAGGAAGAACAACAAAAAAACAAAAAACCUAUAAACACAAUGGAAAAACAAAUUCAAACCGUAGAAGCCUUAGUGAGUGAAGUAAUAGUAACAGCAGCACCAAAAGCAUUAUUUUUAGACUCAAAUCCAAAAGUAUCAUAAUGCAAGAAAAACUCCACCAAGAACAAUCUACACAAAAGCACAACAAGAUUCUUCCCUGGACAUUGUUUAUUAUCUAUAGAAGGCUCCUCUAUUUCUUUCCCAUUAGACCAUAAAACAUACUUCAACAACUUCUCACCUUCUCCAAUAAACCUAUUUGGAACGAAAACCUCGGCAUCAUCGAAAACCCUAGGAUCCUUAGUCGCGAACGGUUGGUAUCCAAAUAUCAUCUCACCUUUUUUAAUUUCGAAACUUGCAUCAUGACUCUUCACGAUCAAAUCUUCUCUUGCUUUUGCAUAUUGAUAAGGGACGGCAGGUUCUAUUCGCAUUGCUUCAUAAACAACGGAUUUUACUAACGACAUUUUUUCCAAUGACUGAAUUGUUACUCCGCCUUCUUGUUUUACAACGGUUCUUAUCUCGUUUGCGAGUUCUUUGUGUAGUGAAAGGCCGCUUAGACCGACCCAUUUGAAGAGAAUUGGGAAUUGAUUCUUUAAUCCUCCAUAUGCGUUGAAGCCGGCUGUGAAAACGAUAUUGUGGCAGGCUUCACUUCUUUUUAAACCGGCUUUUUCUGCUUCGUUUAAAAGUGUUACCGCUGAUGAAGAAAAUGUUUCGUAGAGCUUCUUGUAAGAAGACCUAGCCAAACACACCAUAAUAAUUUAAUGUAAGGAAUACACUAACAUUAUACAUUGUUCAAAGUUUUAUAUCUAUUUAUUAUUCAAAAUGUUGAUGAAUAUUCAUAUUUUAAUUAUCAUAUACAAAAUGAUUAGAUUUUGAUGAAUCUUAAUUCUCCACUAGAAUAAUGAGAUUCUUCCUAGAAAUCAUUAUAUAUUUGAAUAAAAAAAAACUAAUCCAUGGACAAUACAUAUCAAUGUUUGCACACGAAUUUGCUCAUGUAGAGAUUUCACUAGCAACUUUGGAAGAAUUUGAAGGACCAUACAAACAACCAAAAUGUACAUGUUAUUUUUUAAAAAAUAAAAAACAAAAUUCCAAAACAGAGCAACUGAACAACCAAUUUCUAAAUGAGAGAAAGGUGAUAGGUUACUAUUCAUAUAAAGAAGAAAAAAAUGUAUUGUAAGAGCCAUCAUUUCCUUUUGGGCUACCCUCCCUCCCAUUGUAUAUACAACUUCCAUCUCUAAAUUAAGGUGACUAAAUUAAUUUAAAAAAUUAUAAUAUAAAUUUAUAAUGCCUUUUUUUAGUUUAUCUUUCAUUGUUGAUUAUUAAUUGAGAAUAAUUUUGAUUUUUAUAGUAUAUAAAAGUCGAACUUUUUUUAAUAAUCAAACAGUUAGGAUUGAUUACUAUGUAAAUUUGUUUUACAUCGUCAAAAAUGUUUAUGAAUUAAAUCCUAAUUGAUUUAUCUUUUACUUUGUUUUUUUAAAUUUUUAGAUAAAAUGACACGUACCACAUAAAACUCACAUACUCAAAACUCAAUUGUGCGAGAUUUCAAGUUCAAAUUCAGAUUAAGAUGUCUAGCUUAAAUAUAUCAUAAUUGUUUGUUGAGUUAUGUCUUAGACAAAUUUAUCUUUUUUUUUUGUUAAUAAUAAAUUUAGCUAUACGCAUCCCAAGUGCUCCGGAUCCAACCCAAAUCCACUCAUUCGUGGAAGCAUCUUAUGCAAGUCAAAGGUAACAAACACUAUAUGUUUAUGUACACACUCUCUAGCUAAUAUGCUCCUCACAACGCUCACGGGUCAUUAAGUCCAUCUUAACAGCUCCCAUCGUUCCAAUUGUCAACUGUCACAAAUGGUUAUAACCGUCCCCCAAUAUAAAGACAAGUUUUUGCGUCAAGGUUCACAAUUCAAUCACUUUCCACUUUCGCACUCCUCCUUGAUGACAUACUGAUUUGAGCAUUGUUGUGCUAACAUAUUUUGCAGAUAUCUUUCCCACCAUGAUCCACCGCACUAGGAACCUAUCUCCACCGUAACCGUCUCAAGUCUCACCUUCGAAGUCAUCUAGCCUUGCUCAGUGCAGAUCUAUCAUUUUUUUUUUAAUGUAGAGAAUUUAAGUCGAAGAGGAUGAUAUCCAAAUUUAAAGUAGGGAAGACCUUAUCUUUCACUUAUUAUUAAGUCAUUUGUGUCUUAUAAAAAUGAUCAGAGGUAGUAUAUGAUAUAAAUAUUUAAAGAAAAUCUUAUAAACUAAAAAAUAAAUAAUUUUCCCAAUAUAGAAUCCUAAUAAAGUUUAAGGUUAUAGUAUGAAUCUCACCUUGCCAAACAAGCUGGAAAUGGAAUAGUACGAAGCAAGAGAUCUUCAAGAUAAUUAAAUAUCUUAGGGGGCCCUAAAGUUGCAAGUGGAGCAAGUUGAAAUAGUAGCCAUGUAUCAAACAUUUUAGGACCUUGAGAACCAAGGAUAGUUUCAGAAGGGUCUUUAUUAUCACAAAAGAGACGAAACAUGAAGUUAAAUGAAGCAUCACUAACAACAGAGUUAAAAUCUGCUUUACCAUUUUUACUAGCAAGCUCAUCUUCAAUCACAUUAAAAGCAUCAGAAAGUAUAGUUCUAAAAAGAGGGACAAAAGUGUCUUUUCUUGACAAAAGAGUAUUAAGAUAGAAACCUUUGAUAAGUGCAUGGCUUGGUUCAGUUGUGUCUAAGUAAGCACAAACACGGUAGCCGCCGGUGAAAUUUGUCGACGGCAUGAAUGUACCGUCGAGGACAUUAUAUUUUUCGACUUUUUUGUUGUCGAAGAGGAUCGGAAAAGAUGCGGCGUCUAAGAGUGCUAUGACUCUUGGGUUUGAGGAAAUGAAGGGACCUGGUGGCAUGUUUGUUCUAAAGAUUGUUGAAUUGUAUUUUUGGAUUCUUGUUGAGAAGAAUUUGUCUUUACCUUGGUUGUAGAAGUAGUCAUGGCGGUCGAAAAUCGGUCCGAUGAAGGGGAGACCAUAGGUGCCUGGGAUUUGUUUUAGUGGGAGGUCUUGCUGGUUGUUGGUGGUGGUGGUAGAUGGUGAUGGUUCUAAAGAUGCCAUUGUUGAUGAAACUUUUGAUAUUUUGAUGAGUUUGGUUAUGAGUUUAAGGUAGAGUUGGAUUUUAUAUAGAAUGGUAGGUAGUACUAGUAAUAUAGUGUAGGCUUGGUUUUUAUUUGAUUUAUAUUUAAUUUUUUUAAAAUGAUUUAUAAAAAUUAAUAAAAAAAAUAGAAAGAAGAUAUUUUAAAUUAUUCCUUAACAUUGACAUCCAGUAAUUUAAAUAUUUUUUUAAGAUUAUAUUAUUUUUUGUGAGAUUGCAUAAAUACUAUAUUAGAUAUGGUUGUAUUAUCGAGAGGGAAUUGGUCCCUUCCAAUCCAUUAUUCACGUGCAUUCAAUGCAAGGAUGGAGGAAAUUUGUUUGUUGAUUAAUACUAUAAAUGUGGAAAAUAAUGUGCAUGUGUUGUAAAAUUGUGGGGUAAAUAAGGAUGAAUUGUUCAAGUGGUAAGUGUUUUGAUCCUUUUAAAUAUGUGAUUAGAGGUUCGAUUUCUAGCUUAUGCGUAUGGAGAAAAUUCGGUUGAGAGAAAAGAAUCGUUGAGAGUUUGAUAUAGUAUAGAAACUAAAGAUAGGUAGUAGAUUUGGAGCUUUCAUGUUUGAGUUUUAUUAGUAUUUUUAAUAGACGUAAAUAGAAAUACUUUUGUAAAUAAUUUUUUGAGUUUAGAUUUUUUUUUGGACAUCAUCCUUUCAUUUCAAUUUUUUCUAUAAAAAAAAUUAAAUAUGUUUUUAAUCCCUUCACAUAAUUUCUUCGUAAUUUGUCAAUCUAAUUUUUUUGUUGUUUUUAAUUUUAAUAAUCUCUUCUUAAAAAAUAAAUCCACGUUGCAUGUUUUUAUGAUAUGUCAUUGAUAAAUCUUAAAAUAUAGUUAAUUUUUUAGAGCAAUCUCGAUUUGCAGAAUCAGGCACAUCGGAUUAAGAAGCAUAUCAAAUGAUUUUAAAUUUAUAUAAAUCAAUGGAGUUGAACUCGGGAUAUUUGGGUUACAACAUUGCUACCUUACCAUUGCACUACUUGCAAUCUUGUGUACGUAAUGGUUAAUUAUUUUUUUUUUUUUUUUGUCUUGUAGCUUAGUAACUAGAAAUUUCACUUUAAAGAUAAAUAAGUGGAAUAUUCGAGAUUCGAACAUCAGCUCCUACAUGAUAUAUGCGACGUUCCUACUAACUAAGUUAAACUCACGGAAACUAUAAUGAGUUUUUUUUUUUAACCAACUGGAACUAUAAUGGUUAAUUAUAACAUAAUAGUUAACAAAUACUAUAUGUAUAUAUGCUUAUUUAAAAUGAAAAUUUUGAGAUGAACCACAGUCCUUCCAAUCCAUACCUAACUCCGCACUAGUGAUGGCGGCAGCAAGGUCAAGGAGAUGAGAGAGAACAGAGAAAAAAAAUUCAUUCUAUUAGUGAGUAGGAUCGAACACCUAGGCUGGUGGCAAUUUGUUAAUUUUUUUAAAACUAAAGGUAUCCUCUGCGUGCAAAGUUACAGAGACUAAUCCCCUCGAGGUAACUGAGAUCCAUUUAAGGGGUUGACCUCUCCUAACAAAUACUUCUUUAUACGCACCGGUCAGGAAUCAAACUUAGGACCAAAUGAUUAAGGAACCCAAGUAUUUAUCGUUCGUGGAAAAUGAUACGCAUAUGUUGUCAUAAUGUGGGGUUGAAUUGAAAAUAUAGUUACCGUGAACUAUAAGAAUUUGAUUUAGUGGUUAAAUAAUAAGUUUUAAAUUUUUUUGUUCAAAAGUUUUAAAUUUGAAGGUUCUAAUAAUUUGCGGAUUAGUUUCAUAUAUUUUUUGCCGCAAGUGCAGUGUAUUUUGUUUCUUGCUUCUGCUAGUGUAGUACAUGCAGAUUAGAGGGUUGUUUAACAUAAUAAUAAACGGUGUUAAGUUGAUAAGAGAAGUUUAUAUCUAUUUUAAGAGACUUUAGGGAAGGUUUGUGUCUAUUAAAAAAUUAGAGGAGGUGCAUGUGUCAUUUAGAUCUCAGGGAAGGUGAGCGUAAUUUUCCCUAAAAAGUAUUGAUUAUAGUGUUUUUAAGAGAAGAUAAAUAUAAUAUCUUGCAACUUUUUGAUUUCUAAGGUCUUCCUUAUACAGAGAUAUUACCCUCUUACUCUAAAUUUCUCUCAUUAAAGAAAAUAUGAAUAAUGGUAUAUUAAUAUCGCAUGAAGAUUAGAUGUGAGGUAGUUGAAUUUAUUUUUUAAUGAGUAAAAAAUAGUUUUUUUUUUCACCCUAUUUAUUUUCUCGCGCGCCCUACAAAAUGGAACACCCUAUCAGAUUUAUUCUUUUUAUAACGUCCAUUACUUAAAUAGCGGAUGACAUUUUUCAAAAAUUUUUCAUUUUUAUAACGUCUGCUACUUAAGUAAUGGAAGAGUAAAAUGGAAAAGGUUUAGGGCGCGCGCAGGGACGGAUCCAAGAAUUUUAGUAAGUGGGGUCAAAAUUAUAACGUAAAAAAAAUAUAAAUUGUUAUUUAUAUAAUUUUAACAUUUUCUUAUACAAAAUUACUUAUUUUGGUUUAUUAGUCAAUACUCUUAAAAUACUUAUUAGUAUUAUAAAUUAGUCUUAUUAAUUUUAUAUUUGUUAUAGUGUAAUAAAUUGACUAUAUAAAAACGAUAAUACCAGAUAUAUGAGGUCACAUUGCAUAAAUAAUACUAGUAUUAACUAAAAAUAUAAUAGGCAAGUGGGGUCGGCUGACCCUACUGCCCCCACACUAAAUCCGUCCCUGGGCGCACGAGAAACUGAUAGGCCCAAUUGGGCCAUGUCACCCGAAUACAAAUAGGUUAAAAAAAGGAGGGAAAUCUUCUAUCCACACCCCUCAUGAUUAGUAAUUACAGUACAUCUUUAGCUGAAAAGUGGCCUAAAUUGUUCGUAUUUCUACCUAUUAGAGUGAACAAAUGUAAUGGACUCAAAACAUUUAGCUAAUUACAGCAACAUAAACCAUUUCUUUAGUUUAUUUCAAGAAAAAUAAUAAUAUAAGAAGUAUGACUCCCUUGAGUACACUUUUGACCAAUUUAGUGAUUUUAAUAUUUAUGUUCGAUCUCCUUGAGUUGGAUAUCGAGUUUUUUUAUAAAAAAAACUAUGUUCUAACCUAAUCAUAGAUGGGAGAGAUUUUCAAUUUAGAAAUGUACUACAUUUAAGAUUUUUCAAGUGGAAGCAUCCUACCCGAGAAAAGGAAAAUAUUAUAGAGGCUAUUAAGUUUUAGAUCAUUAUCCAUUAAAAGAAUUACAUGCACAUUGAAAGUGUAAAAUAUUAUAGAGGCUAUUAAGUUUUAGAUCAAAUUUUCAUGUUGAGUAUUAGAUUUUUAAUUAUGGUGGGUUGAUUUUUGUUUCUUGUUUGGAGAUUUUUUUUGGUUGUUUUCCCAUCGAAUCAUUAGAGAAAAAAUUUCCAUCAAGAGAGGAAGAUGAAAGAUGAAGGAAAUAUGUUUGAUCAUAUUAAUAGGUUUAAUGAGGUUAUAUAUAUAUAUAGAUUUAUGAUGAAUGCACAUGACAAUGUCAAAGAUGAAGAACACGUGUUAAUGUUGGCUUCACUAUCUAAAUUUUAUAAACCACUUGUGCACUUAAUGUUGGUAAGUAAGAGUACAAUGCAAUUAUGUGAGGUGGUGAGAUCAUUGAAGGAGUCAACAAAUGAUGAGUGUUCAUAUAAAUAUCCGAAAGAAAAUCACAUAUUGGUAACCAAUGGUGGACAAGAAAAAAAUAUGGUGAUUCAUGGAAGAUUUAUAAAGCCUAGAAGAGAAGACUUAAAAGUUGGAGUGUAGUCCUUCUACAAAUGUAGUUAGUUAUGAGAAUGAUAUUUUCUUUUGCAAUGAUGAAGUUGAUAAUUAACAAAGUAAAGAGAUUUUAUAUUUUGGAUGAAAGGAGAAUAUGAAUUGUGAAAGUGAUUACUUAUCCAAGUCCACAUCGAGUAGUUGAAUGAAGAAAAAAAGGUAGAGAACUAUUAUCUGGGAAUCUUAGAGUAAUUGCAGAUUGAAUAAUAAAUUUUUGGGAUGUUAUUUGGAAAAAAAAAGUUGAUAAUAAUAUAUAUAUUUUUAUCUCUCUUAUUUUUUAUUUUAUACACUUUGCACACAUCUAAAACUAAAAAGUACACACAAAAAUCACUUUUUAUGUUCAAAGUUCAAACAUCAUUUAUCUAAAUUUUAGGUAAAUUUAUCUAAAAAAUCAUUUUUUUUAUGCAUCAAAUUUAUGUUCAAAGUUCAAUAUUUUUUUUUUAUGUAUCAAAAAAUCAUUUAUCUAAAUUUUUAUUGUGAGUUGUUCUUUUGUUUAAAAUUUUUCUCAACUUACUUUUUCAACAAGAAACAAAUAAUUUUAUACUUGUCAACUCACUCCCCAGGUUGGAACAAAUAAAUAUUUGACACACACUUAGCAUUUUUCAUCUUCAAAUGAAAAUAGAUAGUUGUGUUUGCUCCUUCAUUUGAUAAUUUUUUAUUUAUUUCCAAUUUCCCUAAAAAAUAAAAUCUUUUAAGAGAAAGAACUAUACAACAAUAAAUAAAUUUCACAACUGUGUGAUUCAUGGUGGAGUAGAAUCAGUCUAUGUUUUUUUAGAGAGUAAUUGAACCAGUCUACUGUAGAAUUAUUAUAUAUUGUAGCAUAUUAUUUGGCAUGAUAAAAGAUAUAUUAAAUACGUAAAUGUCAUACUCUUUUUAUAGGAUGAAUUUUUUGUCCCCACUAAUGUGUAACAUAGAUAGCAUGUACAAUGUACUAAAGUUCCAAGUCAACUAUGUCUUUUCUAUAUACUUACCAAUUUAAUGACUUUUCCCCCUAUUGUGCCAUUAUAACAACCAUACAAAAUGUCACAUAUAUUAUGUCAGAGUCUUAUAAUAUAUCUGCAAAGCGAGAUUUGUUCGGUUAAUCAGUAUCCUCCCAAAGUCAUGAGUUCAACAUCUACUAUUAAUAUGAUGAUGAUUUUAUUAAUUAGUGGAGGUACUCCGUAAUAAGUACUUUUUUUUAAUGAAAUUAAUUUGAUUCGCCCUUGUAAUGGAUUGAGCCUGAAGACUCAAGCUCAAUCCUUGAAGAUCUCAUCUACUUGACGAGCUCGGUCCAAACUAUCCGAACGGUCCAUUAACACAUUCCUCUGCUCAACGGUUAAAGAAGUCAUGCCUUCAUCUGACUAAUGGACAUCAGAAUAUGGACAUUUACUACCCAUCAAGGCUCCUCAAUCGUUUUCCGAUAGUCAUUGAUAGUGUUGAUAUGCUCGUCAAUGGUCUUGUGGCCCAACGUCGGGAGCUAUAUAUAUAUAUAUAUAUAUAUAUAUAUAUAUAUAUAUAUUGAUCUCAUGUAGAAGAACCAGAUACAUUCUAACUCAUUCUUUUCUCAAAAAAAAAAAAAACUCAUUCUUAAAAUCUUACUUCACCUCUUAUCGACUUGAGCACGAAACACCUGUAGGUAUAAAAUCCAUCUCCAUUCACUAGAACGGAAAAUGAGCACCACCGAACUAAGGUCGAUUUUGAUCUAAGAUAAGAUCAAACCCUAAUUCCAAAUAUAAGCUUAGAAGAUUUUAAUCUUGGCGAGCUUCCGAAACUUAAGUCAAUUAUUGAAGUUUCUUGUAUAGAAAGAAAAACAUUUUUCCAAUAUGAUUCGUCAUUGCUUAGUAGUCUAGUGACGCUGCAUACAAUGAUACAAGACAAUUUUUAUGUUCACAAUUUCACUCCUCAUUUUGACAAAUGGACAAUUAGUGCUAUGGUCAACCCACUUUGCCGUCUGCGUAUAAAUUAACACGGUUAGUUAGAUUGAAUUUUAUAGUAGUUUUCAAACCAAAAAUAGAAAAUAACCUUUCUAAAUAUAAACAUCAACGUGAUACAUGAAACUAACCUUUCCAAACAAACAUCAACUCCCUAAAAUGUAAGACAACUUUUGAAAUUAUUUUACACUAUAUUUAAUCAAAUUACACCAUGUAGAUAUAUAUUGAUCAUAUAUAUUUCAAACUAAUUUAUAAAAAUGACACUAUGAGUAUGAUGUAAUUUAAUUAGAUGGAUGUGUAAAAAAAUUACACUAUUGGUGAUAGCAAUUAAUCCUAUCAUUUUAUAUCAUUUUUGGUAAUAAUCCAUUAUAAGAAUCAAGAAAUAAAUAGUACUGCAGUAUAUAGUAAUGGAUUAUCUCUACUAAAAAACUUAUUUUCUAAGCCAAAAACAUCUAGACAUUAGAAAUUAGUUAUUCCAACUAUAUUGGUAGUUCAACUCCAUUCUAUGCCUAUAUCUCAUAAGUAUAUAUAUGUAAGGGAAUUGCUAAUUUACAUCCACCUAAAAACAUUAAGUAUAAAUUAGCAAUACACACAUUUUUUAAUCGGACAAUGUAAUAUCGGUAAACGUAGGUUUUUUUAGGCAAGGUGUUAUAUAUAUUUUCUAUUGACUUGAUAUUUGUUUUGUUUAUUGCCAAACAAAAAUUGAAAAGGACUACUACAUUCUUGACUUAAAGACAUCAUUUUCCCCCACACAUAAAAAAUUAUCAAUAUAUCAAUUUUCUCAAUAAUAAUAAUAUUUUGACCAAGUGUUCGUAAGACUCCAUAUUGUGUAUAAUCACAUAAAUGUAACUCCAUACAGCCACACACAUCAUGUCCGUUCAAUUAAGAUUGACAUAAUAAAUUCUAAAAUUUAUUCUUGAUCAGACGAUCGGAAAACCUGUAAAUCCAUCUAAUAAAAAAAAAUAUUGGAUAAAUUAAGUAUCCUCUAUACGCAAACUCUUCCUAAAAAAUUUAAUGAUGUUGUAUAUUUAAACCAGAAAUCGAACGUAUAAUCUUAAUUAAGUUAGAAGAGACUCUAUUUAAUCAAAAUCCUUGUUUAAAAAUGUACACACCAAACUAUUAACCCCAUUGUGGGGAAAAGGUUAAGUGCAGUAACUGCAUUGACACACUAAUUAUAUCAAUCGUACGAUCUAAUUCAAUGAAUAAGAUGUAUUGGUGACAUAUUGAUCACAGUCGUCCGAUCUAAAACCAAUGAUUGUGAUAUAAAAUAGUGGAAAACUGUAUCAAAAACGAUAGCAGUGGAUCUAAAUCCCGCUGUUGCAAAGAAAACAAACCAAACCAAAUACACGUUUGAGAAUGGAUCUAUUCUAUCACAUGUCUCACCAAUUUUUCAACUAGAAAUUGAAACACACGCUAAUUUGAAACUUUCUACUACAAUCACUAUGCAUUUUCCUCCUACUUUCCACUUAAAAACGUUUGGUACACUUCCAACUACUUAAACAAUCUACCUUAAUUUCCUCUAAACCCCUCCCCUUUGGUCAACUUCCUUAAUCCUUCCUCUUCUUCACUUCAAUCCAACAUUGCUUUUGGUUUUGAAAAUUUGGUUUUUUUGUUGUUUUUGGACACAUGGGGUGUUAAAGAUUCCUCUUUUACAACAUGGGUUUACUCAAAAAAGUGUUUUUUUGAAGUGAAUUAGUGAUUCCUAAUUUGGGUUUGUUUCUAAUUUUGAUAAAAAUGGUGUCUUUUCUAAGAAAGUUAAGAACUUCUUCUGUUGCUUCAAUGGAGGAAACAGAACUUAGCAAUAGCAUUAGUAGUAGCAACUAUGAAUAUUCUUUUGCUGUUGUUUACACUGGUCCUCCUCUUAAUCAUUCAAUCCCUGAAAUCCCUACUUUCAAAAUUGAUCAAAUCCCAAUUGCAUCCAUAGCUCAAAAAACUCAUGAUUUCAAUGUUCCUGUUAUUCAACCUCUUGGUAAACUUCAUCACAAAAAUAAGCAGAAUAAACACAAAAAACCCACUUCAGAUUCUACUGUUUAUCCAAAUUUAGAAUCUCAUCAUGUAGUUGAAGUUGAAACAUCAAAAACUGAUGUUAAUGUUAAUGUUGAUGUUAAUGUUGGUGUUGAUGUUGAUUUGACAUCAUGUGAAGUUGUUGAUGAUGUUCCUAAAAAUUCUGAUACAAUAGAGUCAGAAUCAAGUUUAUUGUCUGGUUCUUGUGAGAUUUGUUCAAUCAGUGAAGAAUUUGAAGAGGAUGAAACAGUUAGAACAAAACAUGUUAAACAACCUUCCGCGGUUACAUUCCGCGACCCGGAAUCAAAUUACGCCGAAAGUGGCAAGCUUUUUGAUUGUGUAUCUUUGAAGCCACAUGCAAUUAGACCAGGAAAAAAAGGGUCUUGUUAUAAGUGUCUUAAAGGGAAUAGUUUAACUGAGAGAGAGGUUUGUAUUGUUUGUAGUGCAAAGUAUUGUAGAAACUGUGUGAUAAGAGCAAUGGGAUCUAUGCCCGAAGGAAGGAAAUGUAUUGGUUGCAUUGGUUAUGGAAUUGAUGAGAACAAAAGAAGGAAUCUUGGAAAAUGUUCGAGGAUGAUGAAACAGUUGCUUUCUGAGUUAAUUGUGGAUCAAGUUAUGAAAGUUGAAAGGUUAUGUGAAGCUAAUCAAAUAGAGCCUAAGCUUGUUGAAGUUAACUUGCAAUCACUUAAUAAAGAAGAGCUUAAGUUGUUGCUUAACUGUAAAAAUCCACCAAAAGAGCUUAAACCGGGAGCUUAUUGGUAUGAUAAAUCUUCUGGAUUUUGGGGAAAGGUGAAAAUUCUAACUCAAUUAAAUACUCUAGUGUAAUGUAUCUUCUUAAUGUUAAAAUUUUAUACCAAUAUUUUGUAUUUAUCUCUCUCUUUAUAUGAUAAAUUGAACACAUGAACAUAUAGACAUGAAAUUUUCCUAUGAAUUUUAGUAUGAUUAUUGAUUAACAUGAGAAGAUUCACUUCUUAGUACCUCUAGGAUUUAGUAUCUUACUCCCUCCGAUCUUAUAUAUAAGCAAAGAUUCUUUUUCCAGGUUCAUUGAAUAACUGGUGUAUCUGGUCCAUUAGUCCAUUUUUUCAGGUUCAUUGAAUAACUGGUGUAUCUGGUCCAUUAGUCCAUUUUUUCAGGUUCAUUGAAUAACUGGUGUAUCUGGUCCAUAUCAGUUAUUCAAUGAACCUAAAAAAAAACUUUGCUUAUAGACCAGAGGGAGACUGAUGUUUCCUUUUAAUGUAUUCUGAUAGGCUUUCUAAGAUAGUUUGUGGAAGUAGUUUAUAAAGACUAUAUGCAAAGUUUAUCCUUAUUCUGCUUUGAUUGUAGAAGCGCAGUAUUCAUAAGCUCUUAUAUGAAAAUUGUUUAUUAAAUAAACACUUAAUUAAACUGUUUAUCCUAAUGAUGUAUUUCUUGAUUAUACAGAAAGGUCAACCACCUUGUGAAAUCAUCAGUCCACGGUUGGAUAUUGGUGGUCGCUUGAAUAAAAACGCAAGCAACGGAAACACACAUGUAACGAUAAAUGAUCGCGAGAUUACGAGAAGAGAGCUACUGAUACUAAAGGUUGUUGUGUUAUACACUGCCCUUUUUUUUUCCUUCGUCUUGAGACUGUUAAAGUUAGACCAAUAAUGUUAUUAACAUUGGUUGUUUUCAGUUAGCAGGAGUACCAUGUGAAGGAACUCCUAACUUUUGGUUGACUGCUAAUGGAUCAAUCAGCGAAGAAGGACAGAAGACCGAUAGGGGCUGUAUAUGGGGCAAGGUGAUCAUUGUUGUGGUGCUUGUUUUCUUUUUGUUUGGUUUUUAUUGUGAUAACGGGUCAUCAUUAGCUAUAGACCUUAGUAUUUAGAGACAAGUGGCAUUCUCUAAACCCUAAGUUUGACUAAUAGAAAGGUACUGCAGCCGCUCUGCAAUCAGAGAUGUAGGCACAAUUUACCAAACUCCAUGAUCAAAUAUCGUUUCUUUGUUUUCAUUUUCCGUAUCUGCUUUCUUUUGAACUGUAGUUUCUGUUCUAAAAUUUUUCUUUUUGUAGGCCGGAACAAAGGUUGCUUGUGCUAUUCUGUCACUACCAGUACCUUCAAAAUCUGUGACUCUUGCCGAUGAAGGUGAUACAGUUAACAAUCUCAGCAUUCAUAAGAAAACAAUUCAAAAAUUUCUACUUGUCGGUUGUGUCAAUUCUGGAUCAUGUACUAUAUUUAAACAGGUUGGUUACUUCCCGAGAAUUUAUUUCCUCUUCAAUUCAUGCCUUCAUUUUGCGUUACUAAAUAUCGAAUCUUUUGUCUUAGGCCAAGCUUCUUUAUAACGCACCUUUCUCUGAAAAUGAGCUUCAAAAUAUCAAGUUGGUGAUUCAAAGCAACCUGUUUACCUACCUUGGUAUACUUCUGGAAGGGCGCGAAGAUUUUGAAGAUGAGAGUUUGCUCGAUAAUAGGAAAAGAUUGCCUUCCGAUGAAUCCACUUCAUCUGGUAAGUUUUUUUUCUCCAAAUAGUCUCACAAGUGUUCAUACCAGUAGAUUCUAUAAUUAUUCAUUACUUUCUAGUCAACUUUCCUGACAGAAGAACCUGUUUUUGCAGCCGGAGAUUCUAGUGAAAAUGUUGAUACAACACCCUAUUCAAUCGGUCCAAGACUGAAAGGUUUCUCAGAUUGGUUACUGAAAUGCAUGUUGUCAGGUAACAUGGAGGCAAUAUUUCCGGCUGCUAUACGUGAAUAUGGGCCAAUGGUGGAGGAUUUGUGGAGGGACGAGGCCAUUCAAGCGACAUAUAACAGAAGAAAUGAACUAAAAAUGCUACCUAGAAGUGCUAACUAUUUUCUAGAUAGGGUAAGGAUAUACUUCACAUAUGAUUAUUCCAUAUCAUUGAUACUCCUUUGUUCAAUAUAUCUGAAUAAUAUAUCUCUUUGGAUGCAGGCUAUUGAAAUUUCUAAGGUAGAUUAUCAACCCUCUGAUAUGGACAUUUUGUAUGCUGAAGGGAUAUCAUUAUCCAACAGUCUCACAUCGAUGGAAUUUUCAUUUCCAAAGUCAAGCAGAGAGGAUUGUUUGCCUCUUGCGUAUCAACAUGAUUCUUCUCUCAGGUCAGUUUUGUCAUUUCAUGUAGUUUUUCAUAAGCUCUUGGAUAAUGGAUUCAUAUUUUGGUGUAGAUUAGUGUUUUUAGAAAAUACUCGCAACUGUGGUUUAGGCCGCGACAUCAUGGUUUUUGAUGUUUCCGCGGUCCAACGCUACCACAAACUUAGGCUGUUGCAUCAGCAAUCACAAUAAUAAAACAUUGAUAUCAAGAAUUGUGAUACAACUGCACAACAAUCUACUGAACUCGUAAAUCGUAAUUAAUCGUUUGUGUUCUUGUGAUGUACUAUCGUUUGUGAGCUUAUUUUGUCCAAUAUGGCUCAUAUUCACACUGGUAAGUAGCGAAAUAGGUUUGUGAUAUGUAAAAUUAUACACUGCCUAAUAGAAAACUAUAUAGCAGUUACUCUGAUGUCAGAGACGUAAGCACACACAAUUAGCUUAACUCUUUGAUUAACUGUUUUUGUUUUUUGUGCUUAUAUUAAUCUAUUUUCUUUAAAGCCGGGUUUACAUGUUCUAAGCCGGAUUUAUUUAUUUCCCCUUACAGAUACCAACUAACAAGAGUACAUCCUAAAAGCCUUGGAGAAAACUGCAAGUGGUUGAACAUGUUCGAAGACACUGACGUUGUUUUGUUCUGUGUCUCCUUAAGCGAAUAUGAUGAGUACGUUGUUAACGACAACGGAGUUUUUACAAACAAAAUGUUGGUAUCAAAAAACCUAUUUGAAAACAUCAUUGCUCAUCCAAAUUUCAAGAAUAAGAAAUUCGUUUUAAUACUAACCAAAUUCGAUCUUCUUGAGGAAAAGAUCGAACAUGUUCCUCUAAAAACGUGUGAAUGGUUUUACGACUUCAAUCCAGUUAUAAGUAACAAUACAAAAAAAGGUGCUAACAAUGGAACUAUGCCUUCAUUAGCACAAAGUGCUUUUCAAUAUAUUGCUAUCAAGUUUAAGAGAUUGUUCCAUUCGCUUACCGAAAGAAAUUUAUUCGUUUCUUUGGUUACUGGAUUGGAACCGGAUACGAUCGAUGAUGCUCUUAGAUAUGGUAGAGAGGUUAUAGAAUGGGAAAAAUGGGAUCCUUCUGUUGUUAAUGAGAAAUCUGAGAUAACUUCAACAAGCAUUGAAGAAGCAAGUUCUUUUUAAUUAUAAUAAAGUUUAAUUUCUUUCAAUUAAUGUAUUUGUAUAAAGAAUCAUAAUAGUUAUGUAAAGUGCAUAGAUGAGUUUAUGAAUUCACAUAUAAUGGUGAAUUAGUGAUAACUCAAUAGGGGGUUCAUCAUUUUUUUUUUCACUAUUUGACCCCAAAUAUUUAAUUUGUAUUAGAGUUUUGUUCUUAUUUGUAAUUUUUUUUUUACAAAUUUCUAAUGUAUAGAAACAAUUAAAGGUGUAGAGGAGUAGAAAGGAGAUUUCUUUUUUUUCAUAUUUUUUUUCUAUAAUAAGUUGGAGUAACAUUGUUCGAACGUCGCUCCCUGCAUAUUAUAAGCAAUGUUCCUAUCAACUGAACUAUGUUCAUGAAAUAUCUAGUAAUAGGUUUUUCACAAUGAAAUCUAGUUAUACAGUAACGAUAUUUACGUAUGAACAUUAGCUGGGUAGUUGACCCUCUUAGUCCGUUAUUGCUAAAUUUAGGGCAUCAUUUUUUUUUAAUUUAAAAUAGGAUUUUAUGGGACUUUUUAUCAUUUUUAAUAUGAUCAAAUGAAGAUAAAUUGUUCUUUUAAUUUUUCUCAAAAAGUUGUUCUCAUAUUUGCAAAAUAUUUAUGAAUAUUGAGAAAAAACAAAUUGUUUCUUUGAUUUUUUGUUUUUAUUUUUAUUAUAACCGGUCAAUUUAGUCAAUCUCUUCAUAAAGAUACUAUGAUAAUAGCCAUUGUAGGAAUAUAAAUAUCUAUAUCUAUUGGAGAGCCUGAUAUUUUUCAGGGUUGUCAAAUAUCUUGAUGUAAAAGAACACUUUACCGCUAAAUAAUAAGUAGGGACACUGUUAAGAGUAUAAUACUGGGUCGUGAGAUAGCCUGAAGAUAUAUUUAUAAGUGAAAGCAAUCUUUAUUUUAUGAGUCAAUUUUGUAGAGUUGAGUUAGGUUCAACUUCCAAUUCUAAGAGAUACGAUUCCAAUACACACUAGUAAAUAUAUAUUGGAUAAAAAGCUCAUGUUCUAAGAACAUUUGACAAAUUCGUCAUAUCUCACUUACACUUCUUAGAAUAACAAUUCUUGAUAAUAGUUUCUAGUUUGAUAUUAGCUAGUUUUAUUUUCUUUAAAAUUAAAGCAAGUGAGGAGGAUUCAAAUUUUAGAAGAACAAUUAUUGUGUUAUCACUUAUCAAGCUCUCUUACUUUCUCAUCUAAAAAAAGUCUCUCUCACAUUUUUAAUUUCUUUACUUUAAUGUAUCAAAGAGAGUGGGAAAGUUAGAAUCCUUUAUUUAUUCUACUUCUCUAAUCUCUUUAUUCUUUCCCCAUUUCACUUCCUUUUAUCUUCUAGAAUAGAUAGUAUUCUAUUUAGAUCAAAAAGAAAAGUGGAAGAUAUGGAUAGAUAUUUUGGAAGGCAUAGCUAAAAUCCAGAAUUGACUCGGUCAGUCAGCUAUGGGCACUAAAUUGAAAUUUUACCCAACUCAUAUUGGUGGUUGAUGACUUGUAAUUUAGGAUAAGAUUGUUGGGUCGCGGGCGAAUAGUCAGAUGAUCAUCUAUACAUUUGUGCCGUCUUCAAUGUAUUCAAUGAGACUUGUCACUUGAUCAUCUUUAUCAGGAGACUUUCAAUGCAAGGAACCGGUCGAACCCUUCGUCGACCCAUCGACUCUCAUAUCAAUGUUGGGUCACGAGGAGUCAGCUGAACACCACACUUUUAUCCAAAACAUUAAGUAAUUAGAUUUAUGAGUGAUUUCAUUUAUAAACUUUAACCUAAAUAAUAUAUAGCUCCAACAUGCAUCGUCCUCUUUCUUUUGAAAAAAUAUAAACUAUUAAAUCAUGUAACCAAUAAUGAAUUGGUCUUCUUAAGCAUGUGGUUGGGGGUUUGAUUCCUGACUCAUGCGUAUGGAGAAAAUUCGGUUGGAAGGGGAGAACACACCUUGUGUGUCACACAGGUUUCCCGAUGAAGAUUAGUUAUCGCUAACGGCGAUGGAAAUAACCAAAAAAAAUUAAAUCAUGUAGUUUGACCAUAACGUGUAAAAUGUGGCAUAUAUCAGCUAUCAAUAUAAAUAUCCAUCUGCCUAAACCGACCGCGUUGGAGAUCAGAUUUUUGUAGCGAUUCAAGAUUCUCCAUUAACAUUUAUAAAAAAAUAAAUCUCCAUUAACAAUUUGAUUGGUCUUUGUUAUCCUCCUUAUCAUCAUUUUGUAAAGAAAUUUUUCCGAAAUAAUUUAUCAAAUACUAUCUCUAGUUACUAUUAUAAAAAAAAUUAGGUCAUGAAAAGAGACAUCGAGUAAUAUAUAAGCUAGAGGAUUUAUAUAUCCAAUACUUUAGAACUUUAGGUGGUCCAAUAUAAGGAAUGAUGAUCUCUACUUAAAUGAUGUGUAUUUUUUAAAUAGUUUAAUGAUUAGAAAUUUCACGCUUAAAGUGUAUAAAUAGGAAGAUUGGGGUUCGAACCCCAACUCAUGUAUAUAUAAUGUAAUGUCUCUAUCAACUAAGUUAAGUAUGAGAGUUUUUUUUUUUUUUUUUGCUUUUAUUAUAUUAUAUUAUAUAUUAUUAUAAUAAUACAACUUAUAUGAUCUGUAUUGGCGGAUGAUGUUAGAAACUUUAAUUACAUUCUUUAAUACUUUUCAAUAUUUUAUAAUACAAACAAACUUAUUUUAUUUAAUUCAUAUAUAAUAGUAAUUUCAAUAUAAAGUGAAUAAUAAUAAAUAAAUAAAAAAACACGGGAAAUAACGGUAAAACAAGUUGUUUGAGCUAAAUUAUAGACUACUUGAUUAAUUUGUCUCUUAACAUAAUUGACCUUAGUUUUGAAUAAACUUUAAUAACUUUCGACACUCAUCAAUUAGAACACCAAACUCGGUGUUAUUUCUAUCCCUCGCGGUCUGUUUCAACUUGGUUAACUAGAGUAUGAGACUGAUGAAUCCAGUUGCUUUCGCCUAUGCAAUAUUUGGUUUACCUUCACGUCUAGCUGCAAAAGCUCUUACAAAACGACCUUCUAAGUCACAAAUGCAAGCUCCAACACAAAAAUGUUUAGAUCUACAUAACACAUUCCGCUAAAAGGUUUGAUCCACGCUUGAUUUUCUAUUGAAGUAAUGACAGUAGAUUUUUAUAAUACUUUUAAAAUUGAGAAUAUAUUCAUUAUAAAUAUAUAUUUUUCAUUCUCUACAAAAACACACUUUUAAAUUGAAAAUUACUCUCUCCGUCCCAAAAUUUUAGUACUUUUAGAGUUUUGCGUGAAGAUUAAGAAAUUAUAAAGAUUGAUAAGUUAAGUCACUUUUACCCUUACUUUAUUAAAAAAGAGAAAAUAUAUUUAAUUAAUGUUUUAACUUUAGUAAUGGUAUAAAUAGUAAAGUAUCACUAAUUGUGCAUUGAUUUCUUAAAAAAACUAAAGAUUUGGGACAAAACUAAAAAGGUAAAAGGACCAAAGAUUUGGGACGGAUAGAGUAGUUUGUAAGAAAAAAUUCAUUUUAGUUGUUGUAGAAGUUAUACUAUAUAAGAGUAAAUCUUUCGAAAUAUAAAAAGAGUAAUUAAUUAGGUAAAAGUUUAAGGAAGAAAGUCAUAUUUUAUUAGCCUAAAUUUUUUUGAACAUUUUUUUCCCGUGAAAGUGAUAUUACUUCACUUUUAUGUUCCUUUUUUAAGUCAUAUGGAAACUGUUUUUCACCUACAAAACCAUCUCAAAGAAGUUCAUAAAGCUAACAUUAGGUGCAAAUCUUAAUAAAUUCAAAAAUUGGAAAAGAUAUACCAACCUAUUAAUUUUUUUUCAAAAAAAAUAAAUAUUAAUUUCAACUCAAUUAAAAUUGUUUAUUGCUUAAGCCACUAGGUUUGGUUUAGUGGUGAGGGAUUUGAGUAGUACGUUAUAGGUCCUGUGUUCGAUCCCCGACUCAUUGUAAACCAAAAAAAAAUAAAAAUUGCUUAUUGCUUAAUAAUUGUAAUCAACCCACAAAGAGCAACUAGAUCACUAAUUGUGGGAAUCAUAUUUGGUGCUGUCAAAUUAGCACACAGUAACAUGUUGUUUUCAUUUUAAACCGUCCGAUUUGAUUUUAAUGGCUGAAAUCAAUUUGAUUAGAAAAACCCAGUUUUUAAUCUAAGCCGCCCGAUAUGAAUUUAAUGAACGAGAUUAAAACUGCGUUAAACCGCAUGCUUUUUGGACCGUAGCAAAUCCAGAUCCCUAAUUGUGUUAUAAGUGCAAAGUAUUCACCAAUAAUAAACACAACAACUACAAUAUUAACAUUAUAUAUAUAUAUAUAUAUAUAUAUAUAUAUAUAUAUAUAUAUAUAUAUAUAUAUAUAUAUAUAUAUAUAACAUUUUCAUUACAAAUUUUCUUGUCUAGUAACCAAAUCAUAAAUAUAGUUGAAUAAACAAUAUAUUUGAGGGUGCUGGAACUACUUGAUGACAGAACUGACCGUCAAAUCAGAUUAGACGGUCCAGUGAGCCAGAUACUAGUAGUGAAAACAACAAAAAGAAAACAUUUGAGGCUUUGAAAUCACCUAAUUAAAGUAUUAAUAGCUAGCAAGGCACAAAUCUAUCCAUAAGCAAACAUAUUGUUGACUCAGAUAUUGUUGAAGAUUUUCUCUUUAAUUUCAUUGCCACAUCUUUCUCUUCUUCUAAACCAUCUUUGGAUUUGGAAAAUUUGGUCUUGUUGGUUAAAACCUUCUCUUUGAGUUUGGCUAGCUCCCCAAUCCAUACCUCUACCAUGGCUGACAUUUUUCUUCAAAUAUUUUAUUCACUCUUAUAAAAUGAACAAACUUAGAAAAGUUCCUUUUCUUUUUGAGCUUUCUCUUUGUUUUGAAUGAUGUUUGAAAUGAUAAUAGAACUAUAUUAAUGUGGUUUAUAUAGAGACUUAGAAAUAAUGAGAAUAUUCAUUUGGUAGAAAACGUGUAUGCUUGUUUAUUUUUAAUAAAAGGAUGUGGAUGUUUUGGAUCCUCUUGGAAUCAGUGGCACAUAGGAGGAAUACACCAAUGGGAUAUUCUUUGCAAGAUUUUAUUGGUUGCUUGUGUUACCUUUUACAUGAGUGGUGCAUAUCCACUUUCAUCAUGUUCUUUUAUUGGUUAUACAUAUUUCUUGGAUUAAUUAUUUUUAGUAUUAAGUAAAAAAAAAUUACCAACAAAAUGAAUUAAUCCAAGUGAUAAGGAUCUUGGUCUCUUUAAGCAUAUGGUUAGGGGUUCGAUAUCUGGCUCAUGCUAUGGAGAAAAAUCAGUUGCAGGAGAAAAUCCACCUUGUGUGCCUCACAAGCUCCCCGAUAAAAUUAGUCAUUGCUAACAGAGGUGAAAACUUCGUACCAAUAUCAUAAAAAAAAAAAAAAAAACUCUGUAUUUCUUAUUCACAAGUCAGUUCUUACAAUGAAACGUUUUUAAUCUUGAGAUUAAAAAAUAUUUGAGUGUCUGUCUGACUAGUCAUAAUGGUCCCUAACCUAAGUCAAGAAGGGGUGGCUAUUAUUGUGUCCGUUUCUCCCAUAAAACUAUGUGCAUUGUACGUAGUAAGAGAGCCACAAAGUUACAUGGUCAUGUAACAGGACAACACAGUGGUCUUAAUUAGAAUACUAGUCCAUAUACUACAAUUUAAUCUAGACACAAAACGUGCUUUCAUUAUAAGCGUACAAUUUGUGUCUGCCCUAAUUUGUCAAUUUAUUCAUUUCAUCUUGAAAGAAAAGGUGUAUAUGUUGUUACCAUUGCUAUGAUAUGAGAUCAUUUAAAUUUGUAUGUAAUUUGAAGUGUACAAUUCAAAAUUAAUAGUUGAGAUUAACAACUAUUAAAAAACUAUGUGAUUCGCAACACCUAUAAGCAAAACGACCACUGUUUUCACCAUGUCUGUUUCUGAAAAUUCCAGCACAUGCAGCUUGGCCUAGAUUGCUUAAUUAAUGUCGUACAACAAAGAAAACAAUAUAAUUCUAAUGAUUAUGAGGGAACUGUUGUUUUAAUUUCCCGGGUCCCAUAAAUAUCAAAGUUUCCUGUUGUUAGGGGGGGUUCGGGGGAGCUCUGGAGAAACACUGGGGCCAAUGUUCUAGGACCACGACAGAGGGAGAUAUCACAUAUCCACCAAAAAGGAAAAAACCUUAAGAGGUCACCAAUCUUAUAAAAAUCUAAUAUUCUUCUCAUAUAUAGUCGAUGUGAGACUUAGCCACUCACACUUGAAACUCAACAAUCCCCCAAGUGUAAGUUCCUACAUCAUAUAGUUGAUCUAAUACUAUAAUCCACUCUCGCUCCCCCACCAAGCCGAACCACGGCUCGGAUACCACUUGUUGGGAAGCCUGGGGAAGCUUGAGAGACACAAUGGGACCAAUGCUCCAGAACCACAAGAGAGGGAAAUAUCACAUUUCUACCCAAAACCAUAAGGCAUUAGGUUAACGGGUCACCUCUCUUAUAAAUUCACUCACACUUGAAACCGGACACCUGUUUCACGAUAAAACCAUUCCAUCAGGGGCUUGCUCUCUCUGCAAGCUCCUUUCUGCUUAAAAAAAAAAUCCAUGGAAAUGGAAUUCAAUAAUAUAUAUUUUCUAAGUAACAAAUUCACCACACAAGAACUAGUAACAAAUAUUGGUAUGCAAAGAAAUUGUCUCAAUAAUACACAAUAAUUUUGAAACAACAACAAUGAUAUGACAAAAGAAAGUCAUGUUCACCUAGCAAGAACUAGUUACACAAUGUUGGUAUGAAGUUUGUAUAAAAACACUAUAGUUUGUUUCAAUGAUAAUUCAGAGAAAAUUGGAAAAUAAUGAUAGGACAAAAUACCUUCCAAAACUAUAUAAAAAAAUCCAAUAGAACCUUGUUGCUAACAACUGUAAAAGAAGAGAUUAUGAAGAGAAAUUUUGCAUGGCACUUUGAUAAGUGGAUUGUGAUGGUGGUGGUGGAGUGAAUGAGGCACUUGCAUGAUCAAGAGAUGGUGCACAUGUAGCAUAUAAAGAUUCAUCCUUUAGCUCCUGUUUAGGCCUUAGAUACCCUGCAUCAAUGUCCAUCACAAGUUGACCUGAAAGGUAAGACUGGACAGAAUUCAUUGGUUGUGCAUAGUUGAAAUUAAUUCCAGGUAGAGAAAAAUUUCCAGAUGAGGGGAGAUUCAUUGGUAGCGGCAUCGGAAAGUCAGGGAAAAUUGAGGCAAUAGGUCCGGCUUGAGGCGCAACUCCGUGCUCAGGAUUUGUUCCAUAGGCUCCAAAUGGUAAGAUACUAUUCAAUGAAGAAUACUUCAGUUGGGAUAUGGAAGAAGGUCCAAAAUUCAUGUCACUAAAACUUCCCAUUAAAUUCGAUCUCAGAAACUCGUUGGUAGAAUCUGGUUUUCGAUCAAAAUGAGGUGCAAGAGUUUGAUGAGUUUCAGACCUUGGGAUACCGGAGGCAUGCACAUUAGCACCACGGGAAGGCAAAGCAGCAUCGUUUGCGCUUAUAUAAUUGUUGUUUCUUGCAAUUGGAACAUCAUGAUUAUGUUUUCCUUCAUAAGUAGUAAUGACAUAUUUCAUAUUGUGUGCAGCCCUUUCCACAUGUUUCCUUACAGUACAUCCAGAAGUUGUGCAUUUGUAGUAACUCCUACAAGAGAUAGAUGAGACAAAAUAUUACAUUGCAUACUAGCUUAUAAUUAUUCUAUAGUUACAAACAUUGCCUUCAAUGUUGCAAUAAUAACCGACCCCCGAACCAGAUUAGGCGGUCCAGUGGGUCGGAUACAAGUGGUGAAAUUUUUUUUUAUAGAAAAUAGAGAUUUGUUGAAAUUUCGCUAUGCACCAAUGCUAUAGCGCCGAUAAUGCAAUUAUUUGAAAAUAUUUUUGCAUUAAAUAAUAUAUCGCGAAGAAUAGAGAUUUCUUCAAAUUUUGCUAUAUUGUAGUGCUAUAGAGCCACUAUAUAACAACAUUGAUUUUUCACAAUGUGAAAAAAGAUAAUGCAAAUAAAAAAUAGUGAGACUGUCUUAAAACUCUUGAAUAUAUUUCAUGUUACAUGCAAGUGCAUAAAGAAAAGCAGUAUCAUUACCUUGGGUUUGGAUUUCCUUUGACAACCUUUUGUCCAUACUUUCGCCAGCGGUAACCAUCAUCGAGUAUGUCCACUUCACUCUCAACUUGCACUACCACUCGUGGCUCACGAAUAGCCCUCGAUGGUACCAUUGUUUGAACUGGAUAGCUCUCGUGCUUCCUGCAAUAAAAAAUUAAAGCAACAACAUAUAUAGAAGAUUAUCUUUCGAUUUAUUUAGCCAUUGCCAACAUGAAGAUGCUAUCAAAUAGAGUACAAUACCUUCUCUUUGAUUCUGAUUCAUCUUCUUCAGUAUCACCUCGAGGUGGUAAAACUGCUUGAGUAGCUCCAUCUUUAUCACCAUCAUGAUUAGCAUGCGCGGAAGAAUGCUCUAGAGCAUUGUCCGAUUCUGACAUACCAAGAGAUCUAACUCUCUUUGUAGGAUUCGAAAGCCCGGUCACAGUAAAAGGCAGAGACAUCCUUUCUUGACCAUCAAGUUUCCACUCCAUAUUGUGUUUUCCAUCUGAAUCAGCAUCAGCUCUAUCAUAUGUUUCAUUGGUUUCAACAAUUUCUGAUUUCUCAUCAUUUGAAGGUGGUGAUCCUCGCCGACUAGAAUGUGGUUUUACAUGAUUAUGAUUACCCGUAUAAAUAAUUUCUGUUAUAUGGCCGUCGUGCGAUCUUUCCACCUUUUUCUUGACUUGACAAUUAGCCUGAGUACAUUUAUAGUAGCUUCUUGGAUAAUCACUUCCUUUGACCUGUUUUUGUCCAUACUUUCUCCAAUUAUAACCAUCCUCUAAGGUUUUUGCUCCUGUUGCAUGAGUCAUCUCUUUAUGCUCAUCCUCUAAAUCAGGUUUUUGUCCAAUAUCAUCGUCGUUGAUAGAAUUUUCAGGCAAAGUGCUUUCGUCGCUAGUUUCUUCGGAACAAGAGAUUGGCAUGUCAACAUUAUUACCAUCAAUGAUCACAUCAUCUAUCAUUUUGACAUCAUUGUAGAAAUGAACUCCAUUAUUUCUAGCUGAAUAGUCAUUUGAAAAAUCUUCUGAGAAUGAAAAAUCUAACACUUGUUGAUCCUGAAAAACCAUUUGGAUGUCUCUAUGUCCUUGAGUCAUCAUAUGGCAAUUACUAGAAACCUGGUAAAUUAAAAGUAGUCAAAAUAUACAUUCAUAAAACUCACCACAUAUCUACCAUGUCUAAAUGGGAUUUUUUUUUGCCACCCUACUUAUUUUCUCGUGCGUCCUACAAAAUUACAAAAAUACCUUUAUCCGCUACUUAAGUAUUGGAACACCCUGCCAUUUUUUUUUAUAAUGUCCGCUACUCAAGUAGCGGACAGUAUUUUUCAAAAAUUUCUCAUUUUUAUAACGUCCGCUACUUAAAUAGCGGAAAAGGUGUAGAGCAGAUAGAGCGCGUGAAAAACUGAUAGGAUGACAAAAGUAAAUAUACGUCUAAAAUAGUUAACUAACACAAAGUCAUGAAUGUGUAGUUGGUUUUUGAUGGUGAAAAAUGGUUUUGAAUAAAUUUUCAUUGAAAAUGAGUUUAGUGGAUAGUUGUGUAUGUUUCGAUAUAUAAAAUAAAUAAAACUAUUUUUAUUCAUUUUUGAAUAGUUUGGAUCAAAAUUUAUUUGAGUGUGAAUAUAUAUUGCCAUGNNNNNNNNNNNNNNNNNNNNNNNNNNNNNNNNNNNNNNNNNNNNNNNNNNNNNNNNNNNNNNNNNNNNNNNNNNNNNNNNNNNNNNNNNNNNNNNNNNNNNNNNNNNNNNNNNNNNNNNNNNNNNNNNNNNNNNNNNNNNNNNNNNNNNNNNNNNNNNNNNNNNNNNNNNNNNNNNNNNNNNNNNNNNNNNNNNNNNNNNNNNNNNNNNNNNNNNNNNNNNNNNNNNNNNNNNNNNNNNNNNNNNNNNNNNNNNNNNNNNNNNNNNNNNNNNNNNNNNNNNNNNNNNNNNNNNNNNNNNNNNNNNNNNNNNNNNNNNNNNNNNNNNNNNNNNNNNNNNNNNNNNNNNNNNNNNNNNNNNNNNNNNNNNNNNNNNNNNNNNNNNNNNNNNNNNNNNNNNNNNNNNNNNNNNNNNNNNNNNNNNNNNNNNNNNNNNNNNNNNNNNNNNNNNNNNNNNNNNNNNNNNNNNNNNNNNNNNNNNNNNNNNNNNNNNNNNNNNNNNNNNNNNNNNNNNNNNNNNNNNNNNNNNNNNNNNNNNNNNNNNNNNNNNNNNNNNNNNNNNNNNNNNNNNNNNNNNNNNNNNNNNNNNNNNNNNNNNNNNNNNNNNNNNNNNNNNNNNNNNNNNNNNNNNNNNNNNNNNNNNNNNNNNNNNNNNNNNNNNNNNNNNNNNNNNNNNNNNNNNNNNNNNNNNNNNNNNNNNNNNNNNNNNNNNNNNNNNNNNNNNNNNNNNNNNNNNNNNNNNNNNNNNNNNNNNNNNNNNNNNNNNNNNNNNNNNNNNNNNNNNNNNNNNNNNNNNNNNNNNNNNNNNNNNNNNNNNNNNNNNNNNNAACAGAAAAGGUGUAGAGCAGAUAGAGCGCGUGAAAAACUGAUAGGAUGACAAAAGUAAAUAUACAGUCUAAAAUAGUUAACUAACACAAAGUCAUGAAUGUGUAGUUGGUUUUUGGUGGUGAAAAAUGGUUUUGAAUAAAUUUUCAUUGAAAAUGAGUUGAGUGGAUAGUUGUGUAUGUUUCGAUAUAUAAAAUAAAUAAAACUAUUUUUAUUCAUUUUUGAAUAGUUUGGAUCAAAAUUUAUUUGAGUGUGAAUAUAUAUUGCCAUGUCUGUAGGCUGUAGGACUAGCACAUUUGGUUCCGAAGAAGGAAAUUCAAGCUUAUACUCAUUUUCCGAAAGGUGGGGUAAAUAUGAGAAUUUUUUUUUUUUUUUUUAUAAUCAAAUAUGAGAAUUGAUUUUAUGUCACAACAAAAGCUAGAAAUCUAAGUGUGUUUGGUAAAUGGGUUUUACACGGUAUGAUGAACCGAAAACAUGAUUUUAGUGUGUAUGGUUGUGGAACCAAACAUAGUUCUGUUGGAAUUAACCUAGUGUCACCCUUAGGAUUUGAUGGGUUCAACAUUUCAACCCAUGGCGCUUAGCGCAACCCUUAAAGAACUCUAAACGAAAAGUAUAUUAAUUUGCGCUCUCACUAACAACAAUUGCUUUUGGUGUAGUGGUAAGCGUUUGGUCUUACAAGUGGUAUUGGAGUAAGGUCACGGGUUCGAAUCCCUCGGCUAACACUGGGGGGGGAGAGAUUGUCGGAAUUAAUUAAGUGUCACACUUAAGAUUUGAUGGCGCUUAGCACAACUCCUUAAAGAACUCUAUACUGCGUCUACCCUUAGGAUUCGAUAGGCUUAACAUGCCAACUCAUGGCACUUAGCCCAGCCCCUUAAAGAACUCUACACUAUAAGUAUAUUAAGUUGCGCACUCACUAACAACAAUUGUUUUUGGUGUUGUGGUAAGCGCUUGGUCCUACAAGUGGUAUCAGAACAAUGUCAUAGGUUUGAAUCCCCCGACUGAUACAUGGGGGAGAUUAUUGGAAUUAAUCCAGCGUCACCCUUAGGAUAUGUUGGGCUUAACGUCCUAACUCAUGGCACUUAGCACAACCCCUUAAUGAACUCUAUACUAUAAGUAUAUUAAGUUGCGCCGUCAGUAACAAUUGUUUUUGGUGUAGUUGUAAUCGUUUGGUCCUAGAAGUGGUAUCAGAGCAAGUUCAUGGGUGCGAAUUAUCCCUUGCCUGACACUGGGGAGAUUGUUGGAAUUAAUCCAGCGUCACCCUUAGGAUUCGAUGGGCUUAUCAUCCCAAUCCAUGAUGCUUAGCGCAACCCCUUAAAGAACUCUAUCCUAUAAAUAUAUUAAGUUGCGCCCUCACUAACAAUUGCUUUUGGUGUAGUGUCGUAAGCGCUUGGUCCUACAAGUGGUAUCAAAGCAAGGACAUGGGUUCGAAUCCCCCGACUGACACUAGGGUGGAAUUUGUUGGAAUUAAUUCAGCGUCACCCUUAGGACUCGACGGGCUUAACAUCUCAACUCAUGGCGCUUAGCGCAAUCCCUUAAAGAACUCUAUACUAUAAGUAUAUUAAAUUGCGCCAUCACUAACAACAAUUGUGUUUGAUAUAGUGGUAAGCUAGGAAGCACCGACACUCCUCGAAUUAGGCGUGUCCGUGUCGGACACGUGUCGGUGUCCGUGUUCGACACCGACACUUAUGAUUACACUAAAUUAUGUCAUUUUCCAAAUUUUUAUCGGUGUCGACGUGUCAGUGUCCGUGUCGUGUCUGGUGUUCGUGUUUGUGUCCGUGCUUCAUAGGUGGUAAGUGCUUGGUCCUACAUGCUCAACUAUUGAAAAAGGAAUGCAUAUGGUGCAAUAACACACCAAGCAUCAACAAUUUAAUAUAUAAAAAAUUCACAAGGCUAUGAUAAAAAGUAGGAAAAAAAAACAAUAAAACCUUUGGUUUUGUUUAAUGAACAAUUAAAAUACACAAGACUACCUCAUUAAGAGAAUCAUAAUAUGGAGACAAAGAAUUAGGAUCCAAGUUGGCUUGAGACUUGAAUUUGAAAGAGGCAGUAGGCACAUCCAAUUUCCUUUGUUCAUGUGUGACAGAAGUGAGCAUUGAUCUUUCAUCGGUUAGAGGUGGAAGCAUGGCAAAACUCCCAGUGGUGGGAGAUGGCAUGACCUAAAACACACAUAAAUAAAUAAAUAAAAAAUCAAAAUUUGUGACUUAUCGUUUAGAUCCUCAAAAUUGUAAGAAUCGAACAAUUUGAUCUAUAAAAUUAAUGAUCUUCGAUCAAGUUGGUCGAAUCAGUUCAAUCAAUUGGAAUAUAUUAAAAUUGCAAAUAGAGAUCAACAACAAUUUAAACAAAAUCUGAAAAUUUAUUCUAACUCAGCAUGACCAAAGCAACUUAUUGUUAUAUGACAUCUAAAAUGAAUUGACUAAUCAAUGUUAUUAAAUAUCGCGGCGGCUAUAGUACUAUAGCAUGAACAAAUCAUUAUUGUUUCGCGAUAUGUUGUUUAGUACAAAUUAAAAUGUUUUAACACUACUGUGUAGUAGUACUUGAUCCAUUCGCUAUUUUCUCCUAUCGACAAAAUUACGACUAAUAACCUUGAACUUCAAGAGCUAAUAAUUUGUAAUUACAUAAAUUUGAACGACUAAAAUACCAUUUCGAUAACCAGAAUGACGAUUUUUUUUAUAAUGACGAAAAUGACGAUUAAAUCAAUAGCAUGAGAUUAAAAAAAAAUGAAAAUGAGAUUCAAGAUUAUAGCCAAACCAUGGAAUUAGGGAGCAUGAUUGGGGAUUCAAGCAAAGCAGUUGGACUAAUUCCAGGUGGUAUUGUGAAACGUGCUGAUUGAGGUGCAGGAGAAACCAAAGGGGUUGUUGCACUAAAAUGAGAAAUUCUUGUGUUGAUCUUUGCAACAUUGUUAUUGAAACCCCUUCUCUCAGCAAUGCUUUUUUUGUUGUUGUCAUCGUCUUGUUCCAUUUUUGUUUCUAGGUGAUUGUUAUGGUGAAAUUAAACUAACAAAGAAAAAAGAGAGAGAAAAGAAUUGAAAAUGUUAAAAUACGAAAAUGAAUGUUUUAAUGUCGAUGUUGAUGGUAGGGUUCGGUUCAGCUCCAGAGGAGUGGAGCUGAAACCAAUGAAAGUGAGAAUUUUCAAGCUUAUUCUGCAAUGCAAAUCUUUAUUUCCCCCAUACACCAGUACAAAAAAAAAACAGCACCUCACACCAUAUAUAAAUAUAAGUAAAGAAUAUAAAUGAAGUAAGAUAAUAAUAUUUUAACUAAAUUAAUUUUUAUUUCUCAAUUUUUUUUAUAAUUUUUAUCAAGCAUUUUCUCCGUACUAUAUUAUACGUCCAAGUACAAUGCACAUAAAUUAAAAAAAUAUAUAAUUAAUUUUGUAUAUGAUAAAGAAAAAUAAAAAUUGUUGAAAAAAAGUUUGACUAAUAAAUAAUAAUUAGUAUAAUACAAAAAUAAAAAUUAAUGCAUCAUUAAUAUUAUAAAAUGACUUUUUUUUGCUAUAAUGAUACAUAAUAAUUAUUUUUUUACGAAAAUACAUAAUAUUAAUUACACGAUACAAUUGAGAAAAAUUAAUAUUACGUUGAAAGAUAUAUUUAAAUUUCACAUUCUUAUAUUAUUGCCUAAAAUAUCUCAAUAAAUAUUUACUUACAAGUUAUUCAUAUGUAAAAGAAAAAAAGUUUUAUACUAUCAUUAAUCUAUAAUAGUAAAACAUCGACUUUUUUUUUCUUCUUACCUAUAUAUCAUUUUUUGACCAAACAAUAAUAAUAAACUAUUCCUUCUAAAACAAAUCAAACUUUAAAGAUUUAGUCCAAUAAUAAAAAGAUAGGUCUUCGGUCUAAGAGAUCUCAAAUUCGAGUUCCGUUAAUAUCUUUGAAUUAUAAAAUUUUCUCUAAUUACUCCGGUCACUUUGAAUUAAUAAAAAUGUCCUCUAAAACAAAUUAAUUAAGUUUUCUACUUAUUUUUUAAAAUAUGAAGGACCAUUGUCAAAAAAAAAUGAAGGGCCAUUGUUAAUGUAUAUUGUAGUUUUUACAUGUCUUAAUAAGAGAGAAUGAAGCAUAAGUGUUGGUUGUAGUUACUACACAUCACAGGUGAUAUGAGAUCAAUUGUUAUGGAAAAAGUGACAUGUGAAAAAUCACAAACUAACAAACAUACCACAUGUUGCCAACCUUAAAACAACACACUUUAUAUAUGAAAUUUAGUUGGUGUUCAUCAAAUCUAUUAGCAACCAUUUUCGGAUCUCCACUCUUAUAGAUUUAAAUCUCAACAUUUAAGGUCCUAAUUGAUUUUCAAACAAAUUUAUUCUUAAGUAUAAUAUCAACAAAAAAAAAAAAAACUUAAUUACGACUUAUACUAAUAAACUUAUGUAUUGUUGUGAGUGUUAUGUCUUAUCUCUUUUGGUGUCUUCUAAGUCAUAUCACAAUUUUAUUAAGGUAUAUCACUUUUUCCUUGCUAUUGUUUAAAUUACCAUAUACAUGGAUGGCUUCACAUUGCAAUAUUUGGCCUUGUCAUAUAUAAAAAAAAUUCUAUGUGUAUUUUCAAUUUUAAAGAGAAAGAAUUGGUCAAAAAAAUUAAAAAGAAAGAUUAUUCAAUUUUAAAAAAAGGCCUUGUCAUAUAUAAAAAAUUUCUAUGUGUAUUUUCACUUUUAAAAAAAAAGAUUUGGUCAACAAAACAAAUUAAAAAGAAGGAUUAUUCAAUUUUUAACUUUUUUAAAAUAGGGAAUUGAGAUAUUGUUAUUAAAACUAAAUUAAUACUAAUGGGUUUUCUAAAACUAAGGUUAUAUUCAAGUUUGACCGUUAAAACAAAGAUUUAAAGAGGAGGACAAAUAUGAAUACAUACAGAUUUAUUAUUUUAAAUUUUAGGAAUAUUUAUUAAAAAAAAUAGGAAAAUUUAUCUUCUUAUUUUCACAACUUUUCUGUAGAGUUUUUAAGGAAAGACUCAUAGUGACUCUUAUGUCAUACUUAAAUGAUGAGAUUGCCCUUAUGAAACAAUUACAUAUAUCUUUGUAAAAUUAAUUUUAAAAUUUUAUAAAUCAAGUAAAAAUAAAAAAGUAAAUUUUUUAAUAUCUAUAUUUAAUAUUAGAUUAUAACUUUUGUAUAUUUUAUAGCGAUAAAUCAAUAAUUUUGUUUCUUAUCAUACUUUGCUGGUUUCUAAUCCAACUCAUAUUCAAGAUAAGAAUUAUAACUAUAUAUGGAGGCAGGAUAAAGCAAACUCAACACAUUUCACCCAAUUCUUUGAUCGGGUUUUGACUUCUCAGAUGCUAGGAAGUUGUGCUACUACAACAAAAGUGUGUUUUGGCUUCAAAAAUUCUAGCGUCAGCCGCGACACGGACGCUACUAGCGUCUCCAUUGUGUCUGUUGGGCGGACUCUACAUCUUUUUUCAAUUUAAUUUAAAUUUUUAAUGAGCCAUUAAAUAUAGCGUCUGCCAAAGCAGACGUUACUUAGGAGCUACAGAAAUUAAAAAUACAAAAAUAUGUUAGUGUCUAUAGUGGCAGACGCUAAAUAGAUCAAAUUAAUAAAAAUUACAGUAUAUUAUAAAACACUUAAAUUAAUAAAAAUAAAAAUAUUAGUUUUCGCCAACAAUUAUCUUCCCUCUCUGAUGAACUAACCCUCAAUCUCACAAACCCUCAAUCUUCCUUUGAUACUUUAAUGAGUAUAUUGGUAGAGAUUUUAUAUUGUUGUGAGAAAUUUUGGUCGUAAACUAUAAAAGAUAAUAAUUUUUUGAUGUAUUUUUAGAAAUACAGGAUAGGUUCCUUUCUAGGAUGAGUUUUUGAAAUUAAAAAAUAAAAAACAAAAGCGUCUGCUUUAGCGGACGCUAUAUAAUUCAGAAACUAAAAUAUAGCAUCUAUUUAGAGCAGACGCUACAUUUAGCGUCUGUCAAGCGGACUCUAAGGGUAACGUUUUAUAACACCAAUAUAUAUGUGUAGCGUCACCCAAAAACCGAAGCUAUUAGCGUCUGCCUCAUAUACAUGUCACUAGCUUCCGCUUAGCAUCUAAUGGGACGGACGCCAAAUAGCGUCUGCUGGACGCAACUGUCUAGCUUUGGGCAUUUAAGUGUCUGCCACGAUGUAGACGCUAAGCUGACGCUAAGUACCUUGUAGCGUCCAUUUUUUGCCAUUUAGCGUCUCUUUGUGGCUGACGCUCCAGAGCAGUUUUCUUGUAGUGUCUCUAUUUGUGGAUCACCGCGCCUNNNNNNNNNNNNNNNNNNNNNNNNNNNNAAGGAAAUUCGCCUAACCAACCAAGCUGGAUGCUAUUGUACAUGAGGAGGUAGAGGCUGAGGGAGAGAGGACAUCAAACUUGGUCGCAAGUAUGCGCGAGAUCCGACAACUAAUAUAGGCACUGAUGGCUAGCGGUGAGAUACCACAAGGCUCUCGUCCUUACCUUACUGUGCAACAGGUCGAGAGGUACACCAUGAGGUCUUCCUGUUAUCGUAGGAGGGGUAGAAGGGGUUCGUUUAUGCAGCGAUGUUGUGUGCCUGUAAUAACUUUAGGAUAAUAAUCAAACCUUAAUAGUCAAAGAGUCUGUACAUGUUGCGUUUGACGAAUCUUACCUCGAAAAGAACAAGAAAGGUAGUUUUGGUUUUGAUGUUUCAAGUAUUUUGACCAAGGAAAUUUUCAAAGAUUGCACCCAUAAUGACACGAGAAAGUUGAACAAGAAACCUCUCCAAAAGCUUGUCACGGUUGGGUUGUCACAAGAGACCACUCCUUAGAAAAUGUACUAGGAGAUAUAAGAAAGGAAGUAAGUAAAAGGUUACAUGUAACCAAUUUUUGUGAUUUUUGCACUUUCAUUUUGCAAAUGGAACCUAAAUCCAUUAAGGAAGCUAUAAUUGAUGAGGGGUUACUUGCAAUGCAAGAAGAACUAAACUAAUUUAAAAGAAAUGAGUUUGGGAUUUAGUACCACAACCUCGAAACCAUACGAUUAUAGGCACUAAAUGGGUCUUUAGGAAUAAGCAAGAUGAAAAUGGGAUCAUCACUAGGAAUAAAGCUUAAACUCGUAGCCAAAUGAUAUAAUCAGGAAGAGGGAAAUGACUAGGAAACUUGUGCUCCUGUAGCCCGCCUUGAAGCGAUUAGAUUACUUUUUGCAUACGCUAGUUGUUUGGAUUUUAAAUUGUAUCAAAUGAAUGUAAAGUUUGCUUUCUUAAAUAGUUUGAUAAAUGAGGAAGUUUACGUUUCUCAUACCCCUAGGUUUGAGAACCAUGAGUACCCGGAUACAUUUUUAAACUCAAGAAAGCGCUACACAGUCUUAAACAAGCUCCUAGAGCUUGGUAUGAGAUGUUAAGCAAAUUCUUGAUUGAAAAAUGUGGUAAAGUAGACAAUACUCUCUUUAUUAAGCGUAGAGGAAAGCAUUCCCUACUAGCUCAAAUAUAUGCGAAACUAUGUGAAAAACAAACUAUGGAGAAUUUAGAUCCCUUCUAUCUCUCUAACUUCAUCUUCUACUUCACACUCAAAACCUCCAUAACCAGAUGGGGCGGCCCUAUGCCAUGUGCAACAUGUGUCAUGGUAUAGGGCCUCUUAAAAAGUCUUAAAAAUAAGGGUCUCAAAAAAAUAUGUGAUAGUAGUAUUAGUAAAUUAGAGGGUGUAAAAAUUAAUUAUAUUACAGCAAAUAGUAAGGUCCAAUAAUCAAGCCCAAUAAAAAAAUUUAAUGGCUUAUCAUUGAUAGCAAUUGAGAAUCAUCUCUUUGAGGACAUAUAAUAUAAAAACUUGUGACCAAAUUUACUUUUUAGGUUCGAUCAUCUUUAUAACAAAUUUAAAAUAACAUCAAUAAUAUAAAAAAAAUAGUCAAUCAUCUUUAUAACAAAUUUAAAAUAGUCAUUCAUCUAUUUAAUUUGUACUAUCUUAUUAUCUAAAAUAUACCUAAAAAAUAGUCAAUCAUCUUUAUAAUAAAUUUAAAAUAUACAAUGAACCUAAAAUAUGCUUUUUAGGUUCAUUAUAUAUUUAAUGUAUUUUAUCCAUAUUAUCGGCCAAAUACAUUAAAUAUAUAAUGAACCUAUAAAGUGUAGUUUUAUCUAUAAACUGUUACAAAGAAAGCAAAUAGCUAUAAUUUUUGACACGGGCCUCCGAAUUGUUGGACCUGCCCCGACAAUAACCCACUUCUCCAACCUCACAAAAAUUCAAACUUUAACCAAACCUUGCCAUGUUUUCUCUUUAGACCCCACGGUUCUUUUUUCCCCUGGAAUUUACUUUUUUUGUCUUUUAAUAAAAAAUUCGAUUUCUGUUAACUGAAUUUUUCCUGAAUUUGAACUAGAAAAAAUUUUAAUUUCUGCGAACCGAAGUUUUUAGCAAGAAUAAAAUUGAAAUAUUUAGAGUAUAAAAAAUACAUGCAAAGUCCAGACAUAGAACCUUGCCUCCAAUCACUAAACCUUCAUAACAUAACUUUUCAUUCUCUCAACCUUUUUCCCCUAACUCUCAACUUUCUGAAUUUUUCGUUUCUCCUCACCUUCAACAAGGGCACGCUUUUCAUUGCUAGCAAACGACAAAGAGCCACAUCUUCACAGGUACGGUAAACUGUUUCAUAAUCAAUUGAUUGAUGCUCAGCAUUUCUGCAAAAUUAGUCUCAUGAGUAGUUAAUUGAAUUUCAAGGACUGGUUAAAUUUAUUGAAUGCUCUGAGAAAUUCCAAGAACAAUAUAUAUGUCAAAGCUUUUUGCUGUAAUUUGGAAAAGGGUCCUAGGGAUAAAGGAUUAGUCUUUAGGUUGCAAAAUAGGACUAUUACUCUUAGCCCUGCUGAUUGGUCAUGAUUUCUAGAGUAGUGAAGCUUCAAGGGGUUUUGAAUUUUGAUAGAAAGGUUUUUAUUAUGGAAAUUUCCAAACCAUUUCUGAAUAGCAAUGUGGUUUCUCCUAGGUCUCUAGAUGUAGUAUUUAAGAGGAUUGGUUUUGUCAUCCAAAAGGGUUAUCGGCGCAGCUUGUUGCACUUUUGCCUUUCAUUCAAGUAUGAUUAUCUUACAUAUAUAUAGGACCCGUUUGGAUUGGCUUAUUUUGUUAGCUUAUACAAAUAAAUAAGAUUUUAUGUAUUAUUAUUAUUAUAAGCUUUUCGCGGUAGUUUACGAAAACACAACUUAUAAAAAUACAAUUUUUGUCGGUGAAAACUUAUGAAUUAACAUAGAAAUUUAUUUAUUUACAUAAGCUAUUUUCAUAAGCUCAAAAAUAAGCCAAAUCCAAAUGGGACCCCAUAAUAUAUAUGCAGUGUUAUGUCUGAAAAACAAAGUUUGGAACCAGAAACCGGUUAGUCAGUUAAAGAAAGAGGUGAGAGAAUGGUACUGGUAGUUAACCAAGAUUAUUGAUCCUAGGAAGGCUAACUUUUCUCGGGUUAAGGAUAAUGACGUGAAGUUGCUCUAGAUACUGUGGUGAAUUUUGGCGAACCAAUACGUGAGAGUACCGUGAACUGGUACACACGAAUUGGUUUGCGUUGUUCAGGGUAGUGGAUGAAUUAUGUUACUAUGGAACAAACCGCUAUUUUCUGCACUUCGCUAUUGGCAGUACUGAUAGCUAUACAAAUCUAGCUACUGUUUUGUGAUAAGUUCAUUUUUGUUUAUCAUGGAAAUUUUCAGAAUCGUCUGUUUCUUUUAUCCUAAUUCAGUGUGAGCAAGCUAUUCUUGGAAACUAAGUGCUUUGGAUGAUUUGAAGUUAUUGGGUGCGUUCACAUGUAGUCAUUUUCUUGUAUAUAAUUCAUAUGGUUUAUUGGAAUGUUUUAUUUCAUAUUGAUUAUUUGGCGAGCUUUGCUGACUGUGAUAUAUUGAUUUGAUUCUUAUUUUUUCCUCCAAUGUUGUCUCCAAAUCGAAUCACAGGUAUAACAUGUCUGAGAAUCCAGUACAGGCCUUAUUUCAUAACUUCGAGCAAGUCGCAAAUUUUGUUCAACAUCAUGUAUCUAAUUUCAUAGGCAAUAUCCAAUCAUCAGGACCCUCUGGUAGAGGCUCCGUCAAUGCCUCCAUCAAAGUUCCAUUUGCAAAAACUACAUCUUCUGUACAACCUAUUGAUGCUGUUCUCAAGGUAUCCGUCAUCAAUGGCUUGCAAUCUUAAUUUUUUGAUAUUUUUAUCACGAAUCUUGUACUAGUGACCGUGGUUAUAAAAUAUUAAUGUGUGUGAGUAAGUAUUAAGGAUGUGUUGAGUAUUGUGUUGGUUAGGGGCUAUACGAUUGUCUUUUAGAAAGGAUGUGUUAGCAAGGUUCAUCUUGUGCCUUAGCUUCUUUGAUUCAAUAAUAAUAAUAAUAAUAAUAAUAAUAAUAAUAAUUAUAGUUCAUUAUUCCUAUGCAAAGAUAAAAUAAAAUAAUGCAUUUAUCAUUUUUAUUAGGAGGGUUGGAGGUGAUGCAGAACUUAAUACUUAUGAUUACCAUUUCCUGGCGGUAUUGUAGGAAGUUUUAAUCCAUUUAUCUCAGUUCAUAUACUGUUUUCUAUAGCUAACUUGGUUUUAUUUCUUCUAGAAAAUCAAACAAUACAUUAGGCUUUUAUAUAUUUUCUUUUUAUGGCUUACUUGAAAUCUAAUUGUUGCAUUAAUCGGGAUUAUCAAGAAUGAAGUUUUAUGUAGUGAAGGAUAUCUUGACUAGUUGAGGGAAGAAUGCUUCAGUAGCACUAGCACAUAUCCUAGAGUUACAAAUUUUAUAUAUGUUUCAAUGUUUUUAUGCAUUUUACUAUAUUUAUUAUUGGAAUAUAUGUAAACAUAGUGAUCUAUGAAGCACAAACACGGACACCGGACACGACACCGACACUGACACGUCGACACCGAUAAAAAUUUGAAAAAAUGACAUAAUUCAAUGUAAACAAAGUGUCGGUGUCGUGUCGGUGCACUAACGCAUGUCCAACACCGGGACACGCACACACCUAAUCCGAGGAGUGUCCGUACUUCAUAGAUAGUGAUUAUUUGUAAUCCAUUUAGAGAAUUUCUAUGGAGUCAAAUACUUUAUUAAUCAAGGAUUCAGAUGUGAAGUAUAUAUUUAUGCAUAUGUAUUGUCUUGGUAGGGUAAAUCAUCUUCCCCAGUGACUAAAGAAGAGCUUGGAAGGUCAACAUGGACCUUUCUUCACACUCUUGCUGCUCAGGUUUUGUUAUUGAUAUUGUUCUGAUACUAUUGAUUCUUCUCCCAUUCUGAGAAUUGGACAGAUAUUUUAGUGAGUAGUGACCAUUUUCUCCCAUUCUUGUUGAUGCUAUUGCCUGUUAACUGCUUUAGCUAGGAUUAGGAUCUUCUUUCAGCAAAUUUAACUUUGUAUUUGUAUUAAUUUUUCUCAUGGUUAAUCACUAAGAAUAAUUGUAUCAGGAGCCAUUUUUUCGUUAUCAUGGUUUUCUACCAUUUGUUUACUGAAGUUGCAAUAACUUCAAACUUUUUGUUUCCUUCAGUUCCUCAACCACGCUAAUGGAUUACUAGUUCUUCUUAGUUGAUGGCUUUCAACUUCCAACUCUUUACAUGCUGUUACUUUCAUCUACAAAGUUGAUGUGUUUUAUGUCACACAUAAUAUAUAUUAUUUGUCACUUUUGUACACGAGGAUGUUUUGUAGGGAAAACUUAGUUAAUCUUUUCCUUGUUUAUGUGGUCAACAAGUUUGAUUUUGAUGUGCUUAGCCAACUGAAACGACAAAAUGAAAAUUUUGACUUUUUUAAAUACUGAGUUCUUUUUUUUGACAACUUAAAUACUGAGUUCUGAACAACCUAGUUUGUAUUUUCAGUAUCCAGAUAAUCCGACAAGACAACAGAAGAAGGAUGUUAAAGAACUGGUAUUUUCUCUCCCUCCUGUUUCCCUUGUUAUAAAUCAUAGAAUUUCAUAUCGUCAGAAGUUAGAUCACACCAAGGACUUAUUUGAGUAUUGUAAAUAAUAGUAGACUGCAAAUCUAUAUGUACAGUAACUGUAAGAGAAAUGUUCAAGUUUCUUAUUUCUUUUUAUUGUUUGACCUGUCCUUAAAUUUAGCUUCUUGGCUCAUUUAGGCUUAAAUGCAGUUUUGGGCCUAAUAUGUGUUACGUGAGUGCUGACUUUUCAACAACUAAAUCUUGCUGACAUUAUUUUGUAUCAUCAUGGUUAGCUUUAUUUUGUAUUAUGGUUGGCCUUCUUUUGUCUCACCAUGAUUUAUUAUAUUACCAGUUUAUUUAUCCCUUACACGAAUCUCAAGUUACUGGUUUAAAACAUUAUGUUUUCUGUUUUAUUCAUUUUCUGUUUCCACAAUUUUCUAGAUUAUACACAAGUUUCUGCUUUCUCCAUUAUGUUUUUUUUUGUUUUAUACACAAAUUUCUGUUUAUAAGAAUAGAGUGUGAUGUAGAUUCAGGACACAUAUAACUAUAUGUAUUCAGGACACCAUUACAUUCGGGUUGAUAAGAACAGUAUGUAUUGCAGAUUCCGGACACAUGUUUCUGUUAUAUGUGCCGUAUCUUUUUGGUCGAAACACAAGUUUCUGUUUGUUUACUAUUAAAACACCAUUAUAUAGAUUACAACACCACCCUAAACAUGAACAUCCUCUGUGGCACGAUUGCAUCUCAACUUCUACCUAGUAAAAAAAUUGCAUCUUUUAACCCCUGAAUCUGCAUUAAUCAAUCCAGAGCUGAGUUAUGGGAAUGGACUUGCAUCUGCACAAGUCAUACCCAGAGAACUAGAAAUGCAAAAAGAAUUAUACCCAGAAAACCAUUAAUGAUUAAUCUAUACCUUAAAAAGACAACACCCAUAAAACCUAUUUCCAAGAUUUUCAUUC